CUAGAUGUGCCCAGAGUUAUCCGUUGAUGAUAUCCAUUUACAUUUCGUUGGAUUGGUUUAGUUCGAACCCUAUCUUCUCCAAAUAAAUGACUUAGAUACUUUAUGGUUCAGUGACUUUAAUUCAUGUUAGAUAUCUAUAGUUUUGUGAAGUUAAAUGAUGUUAUUUUGUUAUUAUCAAAUUUAAUUGUGAAAAUAAUUUUCUACCCCUCGUGGUAGCGCAUUAAAGAAAAGGUUUCCGAAUGGGAAAUGGUUUUUAAAAGGUUUUCUUGUGAAAAUGUAAAUAUACGUUGUGUUGUGAUUGAUUGUGGUUGCACUUGUACUCGUGCGAUGCCGUGUAAAUACAAGGAAGACUCUGUCCAUGUGAUCAGUGAGUUUCCUGUAUUUGUGGUUGAUCUGUCAUCCCUUGGGUCAAGAUUUUCAAAAAAGAUAAAAGUUUGGGUAUUUUUUCGCUGACUUACAACUAAAAGGGGAUCCCGGGGCGUGACAUAAACUCUCAUACCGGUAUUAAAAAGAAAUUCCACAGCCCUAGUGCCGGUACCUGAAAACGCAUAUUGGUACGCAAUACAAAAUCCAGUUUUUUAAUUGUUCGGGUUUUGCGGCACCCAAAUCUAGUACCGAUAUCUCGUGUUCCGGUACCCAAAUCUUAGUAUUGGUACUCAGUGCCCGAAAAGUGAUUUUCACAUCUAAUUCAUAUAAUUCAAGUUAAUUUCACAAAAAUUAAGAAUUGUACUCUAAAAUUAUAAUGAUAAAAAUAAAAUAUUAUAUGAUUUCUUAAUUCAUAUAUAACUGAAAAUUAAGUCAUAAAAAAUAAUCUAGCGGCUCAAAGAUUAUCAAGAUGUAAUGGAUCAUGAAAAAUGACUUAUAGAAAUUUACCAAAAAAUGACACCAAUUUGUCGUAUAAACGUUCAAAUUUGAGACUUAGCAAAUAAAGCACCGAGGGUGGCUCUUUGAGCAUCCUUUCAAUAUAUCACCUUAUAACUCCGAAAAAUUUAAAAUAUGCAUUUUUUUUCAACCUUUUCAGUUACACAAUCAAUAUCCAUGUGGUAGCUUCACACACUUACCGGAUGACUGGGGUGGUAGCUCUUUCCUAUAUGUGGUGGUAGUUUUUACACUCCUUUUGAGAUGUAACUCUUUCCACAUCUUUCAAUUUUAGAGGUUUUUUUAAAAAUAUUCUACCUUUUUUUUUAAUAAAACAAAUUUUCACUACAAAAAAAGCGGUCUUUACCGACGCUUUUUAGGUCAUAUAACGACUCACCAGAGCGUCCCCAAUAUUGCCGCCGACGCUUCACAAAGCGUCGGGAAGUGGGUUAGUAAACACAGUGACGGGAGAAAAUUGCGGACGCUUGUAAAAGCGUCGGUAAACAUGCCGACGCGUGCAUGCCGACGCUUUAUCGUGCGACGGUAAGUAUGUCCGACGCAUAAAAGCAUCGGCCUAUUGGUCAUUGUUUCGGAAUAAAAUGAACGUAAAUAUUUGUUUGCCGACACGCAAAAGCAUCGGCAAUGAUUUUUGUUAGCGACGUUUUAAAGCGUCGGCAAACGUUUUUGUUCGCGAUGCUUUAAAGCGUCGGCAAAAUAGUUAAUUUGAUACUUUUGUAUUUCUAAAUAGUGACGCUUUGGUGCUCGGCAAUUCCAUAGUGUAUAUUAAUUAAUUAUUUUUUUUAUAAUUUUUACCAGAAAAGAUAUUUAUUGUUUAAUUUAUUCAACCAAGAAUUAAAAUCUACUAAUCAUGCACAUCAAUAAUAAAAAAUACCAAUGACAACAAUAACACAAACAUAUAUACACACAAACAUAUAUAUGAAAGCACAUAAUAUAGAAACUUCAUACCAAUAUAUUUUGUUACUAAGUCAAAACAGUAAUAAUUCGUCCCUCAGACCGCUUUCUCAAAUUUUUUGAUGUGCUCUUUACCAGCUGGAAGAUCAAGUGCUUGUUUAAACCUCUCUGAAUCUAUCCCAAUAGGAAACUGGAAAGUUUAGGCCAAAGUGUGUAAGAACCAUGAACACCAAGACUAGAAAAGGAUUUAGUAAAAAAAAAGAAUGAUUUGAUCUAUGAACAAAUUAGGUAAUUACAUAAAGCACGCAUGAGUAAUGUUUGAAAAUAGUUGUAAUACAUUUUUUUAAGACUUAUCUAAUAUAGAUUAAGCAAUUUGAAAACUAAUGUGAUACAAUGCAUACAUACAAAAAUGUUGAACAAUAUGAUGCAAUAAUAUAAUAAGAGUGACAAGGUGUAUCAUACCGCUGCCACUCUCGUCAGUUUUCCUUGAUCUUUUACCCCUUCUGGUGUGCCCUCAAGCCCAAGAAUUCUUGCGCAAGCACUAAUGAAGUGUCUUACAUAAUUGUAUGCAUGGAAACUGAAGCAUGAAAUUCUUAGUAAUAGUAAAACAACUAAUAGAAAAAUAAUUAGAAAGAGAUAAAACUAUUUUUUUUCCUUUAGAGAAAAAUGAUAUAAAAUCACGGUAUGUAAAAUAAAUAGAAAAUAAAUACAUACCAAAAAUCCAGGAUCAAAACAAGAAUAUAAGAUAACUCACAGAGCGCUAUAGAGAAGAGAUUCUUGAUUAAUCUUGCGGAAGCUGGAAGUCCGGCUACGAUCUGAAAGUCACGAACCGAACUUGAGUGAUUUGAUUUCUCCCCCUAUCUCAGGCACUCUGCCGUAUGGUGUGGAACCGAUGGUAAUUUUUCACCAGAAUGCGUAUGAGAAGGUGGCAGGACCAAUACCCCUUUAUAUAGAGUCCAAAUCGACUUCCCAUCAAAGUCUGAUUAGGAUUCUAUUUAAAUUUAAAAUAGAUGGGAUAGGGAUAAAAUAUACCAUAUCAAGUAGUUCUAUAUCUGUUAGGAUUGACCUUUAUCUAUAGCAAAUCCUAAUUUAAAUAUAAUUAAUUGGGCCACAAUAUAUGGAAAUCCUAACAAAAAAAACAUGCAUUGAAACUAGAUGGCCACAGGAAUUGCUGGUUUCAACCAUAGCUACACAGAGCAACACAAAAUUUUCGAAAACACAUUCCCUUCCUCUACAUUUAAAGUUAAACUCAAAUUAAAAUCUAAAUCUCAUAGUAAAAAACCCUAAUCCACUACCCAAUUCAAAUAAAUGGGUUGAAUCUCGCACUCUUCGUGGCUCCAAACCAUGGGAUUUAAAUUUUGAACCAAAAACAAUUGAUAAAAGGAAAAAUCAAACCAGAAAAAGAAUCGAUUCUUCUCGAUGUGUCGGCGUCGAAAUCCUAGCUCCUCUCCCGCUCGCUUUCUCUUCCUUCGCCGCAGGAGACCGGCGAGUUGUCGCCUUCUAAAUGAAGAGGGGAAGGCAGAGCAGCGUGAGGUGGAGUAGGGCUAGAGGGCGGCGCGCGACCUGGAUGGAGGAGGUGGCGACGACGAGGCGAGGAAGGCGCGGAUUUGGGAGAGGGAGCCAAACCCUAGCGUACGUUGGGAGAGGGAGGCGCUAAGGAGAAAGGGUUGAGCGGAAGAGAAAGGAAUGAGAUGAAAAGUGCCCAAAUAAAAAAUAUAGCUAAAUAAUUUUAAUAAUAAUAAUAAAUUAUCUAACCUCUUUUGUUUCCCUCUUUUGUUUCCCGCGCAUUAUAAAUAACGACGCUAAACCCUAGCGUCGGUAAAAUUUUGACAGUAGAAAAAAUUGCUGACGCUUUCUAAAAGCGUCGGCGUAAAAGCGUCGGCACAUGCAUAUUUUUCUGUAGUGAAACUCCUCCUAAAAUAAGCAAUCUUGCAUUUUAAAAAAAAUUUGACAAAUUUUAGUCAAUUAGCGAAUAACCAUUCAUCAUAUUCAACACUCACAAUCGAGAUAAAAAUGGAGUAAAACUGAUAAUUAAUAUGAACUUAACUCAAAAUGAAUAAAGUGAAUUUGAGAUGUUCAAGACACUUUUCAAGUUUGAUCACCCAAAGAAAAAUUCAAACAAAAAAAUUUCAAGCAAAAUGAACAUCCAAACAUGUAAUGUAAUGAUCAAAGAUAUGCAAUGAGUAUCAACCAAAGCACUACACAAAAAUCAAAACAAAUUAAGAUUUAAGACAAGGAAAUAUAUCACCUUUCCGAACCCAAACUUGCCGGAUUGUUGGUUUCCUUAGUUUGUGGCCGUUGGGCACCGUUUGCUUUGACUUCCGAUCAAUCUUUGGUCUCCAUUUUGCAUUCGACUUCGUGGGAUUUUUUGUUGGGACUUCGACUUUGGAUUGAUCUUUGACACUCGACUUGGUUGAUGUUGCUUUCGAUCCGUAGGUCAUGUCGAGUACUAGAGGAUGCCAAUUGAUGUUUCUUUCCUUUUCUAGGGCAUGUCUUUUCGAUGUGACCUUUAUUUCCACAUCUAUAACAAACUUUCUCAUUCAAAUUUGUUGAGACUUUGAGUGUUGAAUUUGAACCUUCUCAACAUAUAUCCGCUCAAAUCUAAGCCCAAGUUUGUCCGUUUGACCCAAUCCGAGCAUAUGAUCUAGCUUUUUCAAUCUGGAGGAAAACUUGUGAAUGUCGGAUUUGAGUUGAUGAACUUGGUUGGUCAAGACUUGGUUGGAUGAUUGAAUUUCUUCAUGUUGUUUUUCUAAAAAAACAAUUUUUCCUUGAUAUGAUUUAACAAUUGAUUCCGAUUCAUUAAGUUUCUCUUGGAGGAUUUUGUUGUUCUUCAAUAUCGAUUCCCUUUCCUCCUCAAGAGCUUUAUUGGUGAUCUUUAAUGUUUUGUUCCCAUCUUCUAGCUCAAGCAUUCGUUUGCUUAGCUUCUCGCUGUGUUUAAUCAUCUUCUUUGAUUCAAUGAGAAGUUGUUGGUAUGCCUCGACCAAGCUUUCAUCAACCGACUCCCCCUUACUCUCGCCAUCAUCGCUCAACGUUCCAUGCAAUAAGGGAGAAACAAAAGAGUCAGAAAUAAUAGAUGGUAAACAAGUAAUAGAGGAAGAAGGUAAAGAAGUGUGAGACACUAAAGCUAUGGCAUUAUUCUUCUCCUCUUCACUUGAGAUCGAUUCAUCUGAAGUAGCAUCAUCCUAAGUUUUUGCUUGCAAAGCCUUCUUCUUAUAGGAUUUCUUAGUGGGACAAUCCGUAUAAAUAUGGUCAUAACCUUUGCAUUUAUAGCACUAGAUUCCCCCUUCAAAAUUAUCUUUUUCUUUAAAAGGUUUUGCAAGUUUUUUGUCUUUUGAUUUUGAGCUUGAAAAUCCUUUUGAAAAAGAUUUUUAUUUUGUGGAUGAGGCUUUGUUCUUCCGAAAGUUCCAACGAAAUUUCUUCGUUAAAAGUGUCAGUUGAUGUUCAAAGUCGGCUAGCGAAAUUUCUCCGUCGGAAUUCGAGUCAUCCUCCUCCUCCUUAGUAGAUUUGAGUGCAAUUCCUGUACUUUUAGAAGAAGACUUGACAGAAAAUUGAUUAGUAGGAAAAGUCAUUUCAUAUGUUUGUAAAGCACCAACUAAUUUCUCAACUUUCAUUUCAUCCGGAUGUUUAAUGGUUUCAAUUGCCGCAACCUUCGGACGAAAUCUCUCGGAAAGAGUUCUCAAGAUUUUUCUUACAACUUUAGGUUCCGAAAUUCUCUCACAAGUUCGUGCAUGUAUUAACUAUGUCUUGAAGUCGAGUAUAGUACUUGGUAAAAGUCUCAUGUUCCUCCAUACAAAUUGAAUCAAAUUUACUUAUUAAAAUUUGUAAUUUUUGGACCUUUACCAAGCUAGUUCCUUCAUGCGUAACUUGAAGAGUAUCUCAAAUUUUCUUUGCCGUUUCAAACGUCGAAAUGCGUGAAAACUCGGUUUAAGAUAAAGCGUUAAAUAAAGCAUUAAUUCCCCUACCGUUGUAAGACGAUAAAUCUUUCUCUUCCUUACUCCAUUUAUCACGAGGUUUUGGCUUUUCAACAUUCUCAACUUUUUCAGUAGGAUGUUUUUAUCCAAAUUCGAUGGAUUGCCAAACCCGCUCGUCAAUGGCUAUUAGAAAGACUCUCAUGCGAACCUUCUAAUAAGUGUAAAUAGUCCCAUCAAAUAACGGGGGCCUAUUAAUGUUACCUCCUUCACUUAUAAUGAAAGAUAAACCUAGAUCCCGCUCUGAUACUACUUGUAGAUUAUGGAAACCCUAGGAUAUAUCUAGAUACUCUCAAACACCUAAAGGGGGGUGAAUAGGUGUGUAGGCCAAAAACACAAAUCUCAAUGCGAUAAAAGUAAAUGCGAAAAAUAAAAUAGCACACCGAGAUUUACAUGGGAAAACUCCAAUUUGGAGAAAAAAUCCAGGGAAUCAACACGCGAAAAAAUAAUCCACUAAGAGAAAAAGAUUAUAAGGUGAUUACCGACUCUAUGGACUCGACCUCUCUUUGACCUCCUACGGAUCUCGCGCACGUCACCAGGUUGUCCACGCCCUACGUUCGAAUCCACAGACACCACUAGAAUCCUCGAGCACUCACGAUUCGAAUCCACGAGUCGCCUUGAUCACGCCGAAUCCACGACGCCGCACAUGAAGAGUAAAUUCAUGUUUAUAUAGUGAUCCUUUGCUUAGAGUAUCGCUGAAGGACCAGAGAAAAAUCUCUAAGAAAAACUUAGAUCAAUUCGACAUAUACAUAUUGAAUUCAAUAUCUCGAAUUGACCUAAAGAGGCUAUUUAGUGGAAAAUGGUUUAGAACGAAAAACCUAGCUUAUAGAGUUACUCUCUCAUGUAUUCUGAGUGCUUCAUCGUCAGAGAACCCUACCAUCAUAUUUAUAGACUUUAGAAUCAAUUAUGGUCGGAUUAGAGUCAUAUUAGAAAAUUUAUACAUUGACUACCGGUACUCGAAUGUGGGUACCAGUACGCCAUGACGCAACCGAAAUUUCCUAAUACUGAGUACCGGUACUCUGCCGAUGCCGUACUGGUACUCGGCCGAUGCAGUACCGGUACUAAAACCUGGUACUGGUACACAAUUCAAUCCGCAGAAUUGUUGCUCUCGGAUUAUGAGGAACUCAAUAUUGGGUAUCUGUACUUAAUAUAAAAAAUUAGGUUUUUCAACCCGAUUUUGAGGAACUGGAACCUGGUACCGGAACACAAUAUAAAAUAUUGUUAUAAACAAUUCAAAAGUUCCAAAAAUCAUUUCUAAUCCAUUAAUUAUUACUUAUAUGAUUCUAAUGUCAUAAAUCAAUAUGAAUCACCAUAAAAAACAUUUAAAUUAUACUUGAGCACCAUGAUUCAAUCUGCGAGAUGUUUUUGAGUUCUUCUAGCAAUCUCGGAUUCUUCCACCAUCGACAAAACGAACCAAACUCUUCAAUACUCCCACUCAAAUCACGAAACUUGCCAAUACAAAAUCCCUAAUAUGAUGGACAUAGUAGAGGUGGACCUUCAUAUAGAUCUAGAUCCUAUACGAACUACUACUGUUUACAUGCAGUGGUAUUGGAGGAUCACCAAGAGGUGGAUAUCUAGGCCAGUACAGCGUCCACCUCUCAUGUAUCAAGCACGUGGAUAUGUCGAGAGAGUAUUGGUAUAAUUUUAAUAUAUAAUAUCUCUUUAUAUUUAUUUUUAUAUAUAAAAAAAGUUUAGUGUAAUUUUCAUGAUGCUGCAUUUAUUUUAGGUAGAUGACGUGUCCGGCCAGAUAUUCGAUAUGGCGGAGUAUUAGAAACCCUGACACAAGUUGCCAAUCAAAUGGAAGCAGUUUUGUAGACUUUACCUACGCUUUCAGACACUGUACCUCUACGGCUAGCAGAACCUGGUGGACUAUCGAUGUCGGGCCAUGUACUACUAUAUAUAGUCCACCGAGGCCAUCUUCACUGAUAGAGGAGCCACUUUAUCAUCCAGACACAGUACCAGUACUAGAGGAUCCACCUCGACCAGCUGAUAUUGUUUAUCGUAGGCGCCGACGGCAAUUGCAAUCUCUCCACGGAAAUCAGCCCUCUUCUUCAGCUCCUCCACGACCAGACAUAGUACCAACAACUACUAUGGUUGAGCACGGGAUUAGAUGGGUGAUAGUGACACAGGACACUCAGCUAGUUGUUGAGGGUGCUGCUACUGAACAUCCCGACCAGUUGGAAGUCAUAGAGCCCUUUGAUGAGUAUGGUGUUGAUCGUGGUCGCGGCCGUGAUAGGGAACGUGUAAGUAGACGUAGUCGAGAGACUAGGAGGAGGACAUGACAUUACAUUUUGUAAAUUUUAAAUUGCACAGAACUUUCUAUAUUAUUAAAAAAUUACUAUAUUUUUUGAUAUUUUAUUAUGAUGAUAUGGUAUUGAUGUUCUAUUGAUGAUGUAUUGUUGUAUUGAUGUUGUGUUGUUGUGAUGGAUUUGUUGUUGUGUUGUUGAUGUUGAAUUUAUUGUGUUAUUGUGUUGUUGGAUUUUUGGUGUUGGAGAGGAUGCUGCCUGGGUUGGAGUUCUACUAAACACGAUGAACCAUUCACCAUGUCCAAACAUGAUGAAUGGUUCACCGUGUUUAGUGUAUUAUACUGGUUGAGAACGGGAUCAACAUAAGUUUUGAAUAGUACGGUGAAUCGUUCAUUGUUUGGACACGAUGAAUGGUUCACUAUAUUCAAUUUAACAAUGCACUACCCAACCUGCUAGCGUGGCGCUUACGUGGCCGCUCGCGUGGUAGGACUAUUUGUGAAAAAAAAAAUUUGAGGGGGCCAAAUACAAAAAAAAGCCCUUAUUAAAUAUGAUGACAUUCUUUACAUUUUAUUAAUUCCUUUUUAUAUUUUUUCCUAUUUUAUUAAAAUAAAUAAUAAUAUUUUGUAUUAAUGAUAUAGUAGAUAUGUUAACUCAAUAAUUUUAAAUGAUAAUUGGAAACUGAUUUGAAAUGACAAUGCAGGUAUAUUUUAUAAACAAUUAUUUUUUAUUAUCGACUGUCCAUAGAGCAAGUGCCAAAGGGUUUGGUGGUUGGUACUCGAGACCCAAGUUCGAAUUCUAGUUGAUUCACAUUUCUAGCUAAGUUUAUUUCUAAAUGAAAUAAACGAAGCGGGUAGCGUGCUACCUAUCUCUCUAAAAAAAAAAACAAUUAUUUUUUAUUUAUUUAGUUUCAACUAUAUGGUAUAAGAAGUUGAAUCGAAAUAUUAAUCGCUUUUAUAUUCAUUUUUAUCUUAUUGAAGUUAUGGUAAAAAUGUAAGCACACUCCUANUUUUUUUUUUUUUGAGAAAAAAGUAGCACGCUACCCGUUUCAUUCAUUAGAAGGAUGAAUUAGGCUACAUGGGUGAGGCAACAUUGGCUUCGAUGGGGGUGGAAAAAAAAAAUUAUGGUAAAAAUUUAAUGAAUGAAAUUUUAGUCGCUUUUAUAUUCAUUUUUAUCUUGUUGAAGUUAUGGUAAAAAUUUAAGCACACUCCUAGUUUUUUUAAUUUAUAUUAUAUAUUAUUUAAUUAAUGAUAUUCUUUAUAUUAUUUAAUUAUACUCAAAAUCUAAAAUCUUCUACAUAUUACAAAAUAAAAUUUUUUGUUUUAGAAAAAAAUUGUGCAUGCGAAUAUCCGAAAACUUAAAAUCAUAUAUGUAGUCGAUCACAAUGUAUGAUGUUAAAAGCAUACAAAAUUUCGUGCAUAAUUUUGAGCCUUCACAAACAAAACUAUUUUUUCACCCAAAAAAAUUUCUGAAAUAUAAUUGAUGUACUGUUCAUAAUAUAUUUAUUAUUAUUUUAUUUUAUAAUAAUAUGCACUGUUAUAAUCCGCAAUGUAGCUUGGAAUUUUCACUAUUUUGUGUGUGUUAAGUGUCUAUUUGUUUGGAUAAAAGUGGAGAGGGGUGAAGUUGUUUUCGACUGUAAAUGAUUAUUUUUGCUUUUUGUUUCGUCGUUUUAAAGAUACGGUCAAAUCUCUAAUUACCUGAAACAACAUAAUUGACUUCAGCUUAUCUCGGUAAAAAAAAGUAAAGAAAAUUAAUAAAAUAAUAUAAUAAGUAAUGCUAGUUAUAUUUAAAUAAUUUAAUUAUGUACUAAUUACUCUUUUAUUUAGUUUGUAUGUUUAAAAUAUGAAAAAAUUUGAUUAGUUAUGUUUUAUUGUUUUCUUCAUUUAGUUUGUAUAUCUAAAGUAUGAUGAAAAUUCAUUAGUUAAGUAAUUGUAUUUUUUUUUACUUUGUAAUUUUAUUAUUGUAUUAUUAUAAUUUAUGUAUAAAAAAUAAUUUAGUUAUUUUAGAUAAAAUUUUUUAAAUUAUAAUAAAAAUAUAAUUACAUUUUAUUUAUCAAUUAUAUUAUAAUUUAUUAUUUAUUAAGUUAUUUAUUAUUAUAUAUAAAUUAUAGUUUUAUUUUAUUUACUUUUUUACCUGUAGAAGUGAAGAAACUUUACUUUUAUAACUAUGAAACAACAGCUUCGGCCCCUUUUUUUUUUAUAUAUCUAGUUUGCAUUUUUAACAUAUAAUAAAAAUUGAGAUAUGGUCGUAAUAAAGAUAUGUUCAAAACUCUUGGCCGAACUCAAUUAUGGUGAAGGGAGGUAAAAAAUAAUAAAAUAAUAUAAUGGAUAAUGCUAGUUAUAUUUAAAAUAUAUUUAAUUAUGACGGUAAUUAUUUUUUUAUUUAGUUUGCAUAUUUAAAAUAUGGUAAAAAUUGAUUAACUAAGUUUUAGUGUUUUCUUCAUUUACUUUGUACAUUUAAAAUAUGAUAAAAAUUGAUUAGUCAAGUAUUAAUAUUCUUUUUAUGUUAUAAUUUUAUUGUUUUAUUAUUAUAAUUUAUAUAUUAAAAAAUAAUUUAGGUGUUUUAGAUUUAUUUUUAAUUGUAUUAAAAUACAAUUAUAUUAUUUUUAUUAUUUAUUAUUUAUUAAGUUAUUAUUAUUUAUACAUAAAUUAUAAUUUUAUAUUAUUUAUUUAUUUAUAAUUAUGAAAAUAAAGAGUGAAAAAAUACGAACUCUAUUUUGAUCUAAAGUUAAUUUCAAAUUUUCAAUCCAAAAAUUAAUUUGGGUAAAACAGACAGCCCCUGAUAAAGGUCGGUCGGUGAAGCGGUGGCGUGGCGUUUCAGCUUUGCAGACGCUGUCGUUCUUCAACUAAAUAAGGCCCCCGUCAAGGCAGCGUCUCGAUCCCGUAAAGGCGUAACCCUUGCUCCUACGCCGAUCAUAUUAUUAUUUAAUUUAUUAAUUAAUUAUUAUUAAUUAAAAAUCUUCGGUUUUCGGUCCAAGUUAGGGAUGCAAAUGGAUCCGGGUUGAUGGAGCUCCGCCCGAUCCGCCCCGAAUGGAGUGGUAAGUGGGAACAAAAAAUAUAAAAAAAUAUAAUCCGUCCCGAAUCCGCACCGAUCCGCCAAAUAAAUGGAGCGGGAGGUAAUCCGCGCCCGAAUGAAACGGUAAGUGGGAGGCAAAAAUAAAAUAAAAAGUAAUCCACCUCGAAUCCGUCCCGUCCCGAUAAGAAAUGGAGCGAGAGGUGGGAAAACUCUCCGCCGCCGGAUCCGCCCGGCUUGCAUCCCUAGUCCAAGUCUUCCAGCUUGGCGCAGCAGUACAAAACUACCGCACGAUUUGCCGUGCGACCGCCGCGAACAUGAACCGCCACGUUUCCGUGUAUGUAUUGCCGCGUGGGGUCUACCACCGCGUAUUCUCCCCGUCCUGCUGCGUCGCCCGUUCCCCACGGCGCGGUUGUUGCACUCGUCCCCCUUCCCCGUCCUACAAAAGAGGGGAAACGAGGGGGAAUCGAGGCGGAUCGUCUCUUCGAUUUUCGUUUCCCUCCUCUUCGCAUUCGGAUCUCGACUCGGGCGUUGCGGGCAGAAUUUGCUCCGAUGGGAACUCCGGAGUUUCCGGAUCUCGGGAAGCACUGCAGCGUCGACGACUGCAAGCAGAUCGAUUUCUUGCCCUUCACCUGCGACAGAUGCAGUCAGGUACUCUCUCCUCUUCUCUCCUCAAUUUUAUGUAUAUUCCCGUCCCGUAAAUAAAUUCGGGGUGAUUUAUCUUUUUCCCUUUUUCCUUUUCCCUUUGGGCUUCAAGAUUGUCGUUUCCUGUUCUGCCUUUCUUCUUAGGUGAAGACCGCCGCAAAGCUUUACGAAGUAAUUUGUUAAUACGCCCCCUAACUCAUUACGUCGUCGGUGAACUUCAGUUAUCAUUUCAAGCGGAUUAUUUAGUCAGUCGACAAAUGACUGCCAUGAUGAUUGACCUAUUUUGCUAUUAGAUGAUGUGGAACUGGAAUUAACUUCCAUAUCAUUUUAAGAACAUAAAGGCUCAGCUGCUGCUCUGUCUUUAGGAAAUAACGAGGCAGCUGAAUUAGCAUUGUCAUUUCUAAGAGAUAAUAUGGCUAUGAGAUAAUAUGGUAGCCGGUGAGAAAUCACAGUUAAAACAGUUGUCGCCUCGUCUCUUCAUUAAGGGUAAUUAAAUAGAGUUUGACAGAACUAUCGAUUUAAACAACAAGUGUAAGGGCUUUAUUUCAGCCAAUUGAAAUUUUGUGCCCUCACCGGAAGGAAUUUCUAGAUAGAUUCAAUGAUUAGUGCGGUAAUUUACGCUGGUUCUCUCCUUCGACAUCUUUAUUUUGUGAAAAUCUUGCUUCGUAGAUGAGUGUUUGCAUUUCCACUUUUGUUUAAAGCUGAAGCUAAAUUACUCAUCUUCAUCACUUGAGGAAGAAUGCUCUUCUUCUCCUGCGUCAGAUUUGUCAUCUCCAUGUCUUACUCUUCUUCUUCUUCCUCUUUCUCUUCCUCUUCUUUUUCUUCUUCUUCCUUUUCAGCAAAAGAUCAGAGGUGAGGGUGGAGCGAAGAAGCAGAGGUCAUAGAGGAGAGGAGUAGAGUGACUAAAAGGGGAAGUGGAGAUGAGUGAGAGAGAGAGCGACUUGGAGAGAGAUCAAGAAAGAGUUAUUCAGAGAUAGAUCUAGGGGGGGCAAUUGGACCAAACCUAACUUAAUUUGGUUUCUCAAGAGGUUAGUUUAGGGUUUAGGAUUUCUUAACUAAUUAAACCCACUAGGCCCAAUAAGAAUGGAUCCAAACUGAAUAUUUAUAAGGCGUGCCCUUGAGCCUAGCCCCAGGAGUGCGCCUGGGCAAGGUCGGCUUGCCCAUGUUCUCCCUUGGUGUAGGCCUCUGGGCCUUGUAUGCAUAGGCGUGCGCUUAUGCAUAGUGUGCGCUUGUGCGUAGGCGUGCGCUGAGGCCUGCUUUAGCCAACAAAUUUUACAAGCUGCAUACCAAGAUCUUUAGUAUUUUUUAUUAGUAAUAAAUGGUACCAAAUCAAUCUAAUUAUGCAAAAUUAGGUUAAAUACUCAUGCCGUCAGUCUUAUCAUUGGAACAGUUUUAAUCCCCCUUUUUUCUUAAAAAUAUAAAAAAUAGUUUCCAUUAAAAGUGAUAAAGAAAAUACAAAAAGAAAUAAUGACUAAAUUUUCUUAUUAUAAGAAUUAACAUUUGAUUGAAUUAUCAUCAUAAACGAGACAACAAUAUAUAGAAUUACUCACAAUCUGAGUUAUAGAAAAUCACUACAUUUGAAACUUUUGUAUGUUAUAGAGACAUCCAUUUUCCAAUUGAGGGAAAAAGGUCUCAAAUUUGUAGGGAAGUACUAGCCACUAUAGCAGUCAUUUCUAGCUGUCUUGAUGAUCUUUGGCUUGAAACUUAAGUUUUUAUGAUGUUACUUUGCGAUGAUCUUAUGCUUAUAAUUUUUAUCUUACUGACAUCAAAGUUUUCUAUAUAUUUGUGCAUUAUUUGUUAACCUCAUAUUGGUCUUAUUUUGGAGGUGACAAGGUAUUUUGUUCUUUACUUUUUCCAUGUGUUAUUUUGUUCUUUAACAUUGCUGUUUGGUUGCCAACUAUACCCAGCGUAGUUGGUUAAGGGUUUGAUGGUUGGUCCACAAUGUCCCAAGUUUGAAGCCUAGUUGCUUCACAUUUCUAGCUAAUUUUAUUUAUACAAAAUACUAGCUUGCUACCUUUUCUCUCUCUCAAAAAAAAAAGUUAUUUGGUUUCUUUUCUUCUCUUCAUCUUUUAUUUUUUCCGGAACAUGAUUAUUUGGUUAUCUAUAAAAUGCUUAUUGUGAUAAUAUGAUGUUAAAGAGUCUUUAGUGCCAUUUAACAAUUGUUAGAAAAUAUAUGCCUGCACCUUGCACCUUGCGGCUAGGCUCUAACAGCUCUUUGUGCCUUAGUGCACCUUAGGCUUUUGCCAAACACCGGGAUCUGUACAAUUUCCAAGACUUUCUGAGAUUUGCAGUAGAGCCAAUCAUGUGGAAAUCCACGAAAGUGCAAAUAGGUUGGCCCACUUAGUAAAAUGUACAGGCAGCCAUAAACUAUCGCAAUAUUGCAACUUGGUCCCCAUACUUAUUUAAGUAAUUUGGAAAAUUUCGCAUAUAUUGCACUUUUAGACCCUAAUCAUUAAAAGAAUUUAGUCAUUCUUUUGAAAUAAUUAUAAUACCUCUGCGUAAAAUAGUUGUCAUAUUUAGUUUAAUGCAAGUUGGAUUAAAAAGGCACUUUUAUGGCAGAAAUCAUGGUUUUUCUUAACUGUUCAAGGACUAAGUGCAACAUAUGUCAAAGUUCAAGGAUUAUGAGUGGAAAUAGAAAGUGUAGGGACCAACUUGCAAGAUCAGAAUAGUACAGGGACUAUCCAUACAUUUUACCCUUUGAAAUUUCAUACUCCAUGUGAAAUCUGCUUAUAUGAAAUUAAAAUUCAUGAUAUAAGUGUUUUUUGUGUGUGUUCAUUUUGCUCUAUUCACGAAUGAUGUCAACAUUUGUCAAUUAAGCGAUUGCAUCCACAUGUGAGGCUGCAUGCUCUGUCUAUUAGAAUAGUGUUUAAAGAAGGACCUUUAUUCGAUUAAUCAUUAAAAGAGAACGGUGACUAUAAUAACUAAACCAAGAUCCUGGCGGCUAAGAUGUUGGCCCUUUUUACGUUAGCCUAAUUCGCAUGUAUAUCCAACUCAAAUAUAAUCCCUGUAAAUUCUUGGUAUCUGAUGUUGGCAUCAUUUUUCCCCUUUUUUGAUGGAAGUUGGCAUCAAUAAUUUGUACUGAACUCUUUAAUUGUUUAUGGACUAUACUAAUUCCUGCCACCUCAGAGAAUUUAUUUAUGAAGCUGACAUAGUACUUUUAUAGCCAUAUAUGCGCUCAUAGUUGUUCCACAUGGCACAAUGACCUAUAUUAUUUCGCGUGAUUUGGAAGAGAAUAGAUACUCUAUUUUGUCCUGGAACGUUCAAGAAUGAGUACUUGAGCUUUAUUUCUUGGCACAGUUAGUUUGCAAAUGGACUCAUCUUCUCUUUACUCUUAUAAGUAUGCGAUUGUUUCAAUUUCUAUUGUUUUUUAGAAUUUUAUUUGAUCUGGACUGAAAAUUAGGUUGAUUUUGAGAACUACUGGGCUGAUUUUCUCUUUCCUUGAAACCCAGUGUUAAGAUGUAUUUGUCUAAAUUUGUUAGUUUUUCAUAGGCGUGCAAACAUUUUAAGUUACAAUAUCUAUUUUAUUUAAUUUUGUUCUCCUCUUGAUGCAAACCGAGAGGUUGCCAAAAUUGAAUUUUCAAGUUUACUUUUGUUUAAAGGUAAAACUAGGUUCAAUUUAUCAAUUCCGAUGAACUUUGAGUAAGGAAGUAAAAAUUUCAGUAAGACAAAAAUUAAAAUCGAAUUGAAGUAAUACUAAGAUGAUGAUAAACCUUCAGUAUAUGAGAUAAUAACAACCAACUGAAAAUACAUAUAAUAGUUCCAAGAGGUAAAUUCGGCUUUAUCGGACUUAAAGCUUUAGGUUUGGUUGUUUGGCAAAUAUGGUUGGUAAUGGUGGAAGGCUAAAUUAAAAGGGGAUAAUAGGAUGUUAGGAGAUGAGAGAUACAAAAAGUGCACCGUUCACACGAUUGCGGGGGAUCCACGAUCGACGAGGAGGGCGGUACACCACGGGUAGAACUUCGGCAACGGGAAAGAAAAAGAUGAGGUAGUGACUCGGAAGAGGAGGGGUAGAAAUAGAAGCCGAUCUUGUUACGAGGAAGAAGUGACAACGAUCAAGUUGAGGAAGAAGACGAUCUCGGCGCGAGGAAGAAGCGUCGAUGAUCUCACCGGAAAGUAGAACACCAAGGAUAAAGAGUGAGAGUAGAAUUUUCUAUUCAUCCAAAUAUAUCUCCCUUAAGGCUUCAAGAACUAUAUAUUUAUAGUGUUGAGAGCCCUCCUAUAAUAAAUUAUUGUCUUUUCGUUUUCAACAUAACACGGUCACCUAAGAGUCAUGCAUAGAAAACGAAGCAAUUUUGGGAACUUCAAAAGUCUUUUUUUGGGAAAUUCCAAAGGUCUUUUUUUGGAUUGUUUCCUUGUUUAUUGGAGAAAAGAAUUUGGGUUAGUCAAAUCAACUAAAACUAAAUGAUUUAAGUCCGAAUCAAACACGAACCUACAAAAUAAAAGAAAAUUGCAAUCAAAAAUAAAAUGAGGUUUAUUUGCUGCAUCAGUUCCCCUCGAGUUGGGGAAAUCUCGACUCCGUCGAGAUGGCAUCCUGAUAGCUCUGGUAUAAGUCCUCUCGAAGUUGGCGCAACUCUGCCUCAGAAAUCCAACUGCUAUUGGAUAAUGGUCGUCCAUGCCAAUGCACCAAGUAUCGGUGAUGAGUACCACGUCGCGUCGCAGACUCGCACACAUCCAGAAUAUCCUCCACACCAUCUACUGGAGUUUCAAUGUCGGAGUGAGAUGUCAAGCCAUCAAUAUCGACAGUAGAGGGAGCCUCUCCAUGAUACUCGUACAGCUUGCUAACAUUGAAGAUUGGGGACGUCGGUACUUCUGAGGGUAGAUCAAUUAGAUAAGCGUUUUCCCCUAACUUCUUCAGAAUUUUGAAUGGUUCGUACUUUUUCCUGUUCAACUUGCUAUAGCCUCCAGCUGGGAACCUUUCUUUCCUAAAAUAGAUCAAGACAUUAUCUCCUUCAUUAAAAGUCAUACCUCGGUGAUGUUUAUCCGCUGACUCCUUGUACUUGACAGUAGAACCCCGCAACCUCUGAUGAACCUGUUGUUGCACCUCUUGAAUCUGUUUUAGCUAAUAGUCGGCAUCUGCACUAACUCUACCAGGGUAAGGUAUUGGUGCUCGGUCAAGAAAGUGGGCAAUAGGACGGCCAUAUAAGGCUUCAAAAGGAGAUUUUCCAAUGGUUCGGUUUAUGGAACUGUUAUAAGCAAAUUCAGCUUGAGGUAAAAUUAAAUCCCAUUGUGUUAGUUUUUCUCCAGCUAAACAUCUUAAGAGAUUACCCAAAGAUCGAUUUACUAUUUUCAUCUGUCCGUCAGUUUGUGGAUGGUAUGGGCUGCUGAAAUUCAAUUUGCUUCCUGCCUUUGACAUUAAAGUUUUUCAAAAAUAACUAACAAAUUUUGUAUCUCGGUCAGAGAUAAUUGAUUUAGGAAUGCCAUGUAAACGUACAAUUUUAUUCAAAAUAGUUUUGCAAUAUGUGAUGCAUCAGAAGUUUUCUUGCAAAGAAUAAAAUGAGCCAUCUUCGUAAACGAUCAACAACCACAAAAACUGAAUCAACUUGGCGUGUAGUCUUGGGUAAGCGUAGGACAAUUUUCCAAUGACUGGUCGCAAGACUUGUGCUAUAAAUCAGAAUGUCGUCGAAGUAAACUACGACAAAUUUUCCAAUAAAUGGUUGCAAGACUUGGUUCAUAGAGCGCAUGAAAGUACUAGGGGCAUUGGAUGGCCCAAACGGCAUAACCAGCCACUCGUAUAAUCCUUCUUUAGUUUUAAACGCUGUUUUCCAUUCAUCUCCAGGUCGAAUACGGAUUUGAUGAUAUCCGCUUUUACGGUCAAUCUUAGAGAAUAUCUUCGCACUUCCUAACAUGUCAAGCAUAUCAUCAAUCCUAGAAAUGGGAAAUCUAUACUUGAUGGUAAUUUUGUUGACUGCACGACUGUCAACACACAUUAGCCACGUACCAUCCUUUUUUGGUGUAAGGAGAGCAGGCACCGCGACAGGGCUCAUAUUUUCUCUAAUGUAACAUUUUUGCAGAAGUUCAGAGACCUGCUUAUGUAACUCUUCAUGUUCAACGAGACUCAUCCUAUAAUAGGCUAGGUGUGGAAGACUAGCACCGGGUAGAAAAUCAAUGCAGUGUUGGAUGUCUCUCAUAGGUGGAAGGUCAUCGGGGAGUUCCUCAGGCAUGAUAUCAGAAAAUUCAUUAAGCAAUGGUUGAACAGUUUGAGAAACUUUAGUGUUCUUCGAUUUUUCUUUUGCCAAAAGAAUAUAUACCAUUGGAGACUUUGCUAGAUCUUUAGAGAAUUGGCUUUUGUUCAAAACCAUCAUUUUCUGCUCAUUAUUGGAGGGUUGCCUUUGGGACUCAAUUGCCUUAGAUUUUGGUUUGGGAAAGUAAUUCAGGGGAAACAAUCUAAAUUUUUUGUUGUCCUUUGUGACAAUGUAAGUGUUCUCCCUACCAUCAUGUAUAGUGCUACGAUCAAAUUGCCAAGGUCUACCUAACAAUAGGUGACUCACAUCCAUGGGAAUAACAUCACACCAAACUUUAUCAAUAUAAGUUUUUCCAAUAGAAAAUUCAACAAGACAUCUUUCAGUUAUAGGAAAUUCAUCCCCAUCCUUAAACCAAGCUAUUUUGUAAGGUUGAGUAAGUUUUUCAGUUUUCAGUUUAAGUUUAUCAACCAUUUCUCUAGAGACAAAGUUUCGGUACUACUAUCAAUGACGAGAGAGCAAAACUUGCCUCCCGCGCUACAGAUGGUUCUGAAAAGGCUACGACGCUUCCAAUCAUCUUGGGUGGACUUAGAGGCUGAUAGGACUCAAUGGAGCAUGAGAUUUGUUUCAGUAGCAUCAGGAGAUUCUUCGAAAAUCUCAUCUACAUCUUCUUGUUCUAAAGUUUCUUCGCCAUUUUCAUUUUCUUCAUGACUUUCUAUUAGAUUGGCUCUAGAAUUAAAUUUUCUCAGAAGGCAAUCAGAGGAUUUAUGUUCAGGUUUGUUACAUUUAUAACAAAUAAUGCCAAAUUCAACGGGUUUUGCACUUAAAAUUCCUUUGCCCUUAAGGUCUUGAACAGGUUUUGAAGAGGUUUGACUAUCGUUCUUUGGGAUAGGCUUAGUUCCUAUGGUGUUCUUUUCGCUCGCACUUUCCUAACGAAAGGUUUGUCUUUUAAGUUUAUUCUCAGCCUUAAGUGCAAGACUAUAAGCCAUGUCGACCCUGUAGAAAGUUAAAAGGGCUAACUCAUUUUAGAUUUGAGUUCGAAGACCGGCUAGAUAGCGAGCUAUUCGCUGUUCUUCGUCCUCUUUAAGUUCGUUACGAGCUUGAAAGGUGUAAAAUUCUUCAGUAUAUUCUUGUACCGAUUUAGAUCUUUGUUUAAGAUUGUGUAAUUUUUGAAAAAUAGUUUGACGGUAAUCAAUCGGUAAGAAUUUUCCUUUAAGUUUUUGUUUCAUUCUUUCCCACGAGAUAAUCAUUUCUUUACCCUUUCUAACCCUAUCGUUUUGAACUUAUUUUCACCACACUAAGGCAUGUCCUUUCAAUUUAAGGGAGACAAAUUUAACUUUUUUGUCAUCAGGUAAUUCUUUCCAUUCAAAAAAUUGUUCUAUUUUGUCUAACCAAUCCACAAAAUCUUCAGGUUGUAAUUUACCCUCGAACUCACUCACGUCCACUUCAAUGCCCUGAUCCCAUCGAUGUAUAUUUCCUUGAGUUUGAAAAAAAGGAUUUCUUCUAGCAGAUAAAGUACGAUUGUCAAAAUCAGGGUUACUUUUCGAAUCUUCUCCAACUGCAUUUUGUUGUUGUAUACUUAAUCUUUCCAAUAGUUGUUGAAUGUUAUUCAUUUGAUUUUGCAUACUUUUCAUGGAAUCUUAUUUUUUCUCAUAUGUUUCUUUCCAAUCACGAGGAUUUUCACUAUUGCCAGCCAUUUCCAAAUGCUAACAAGUUGAUCAAAAAGUGAUGCUCUUUUUUCUUUUUUUUUUCUUUUUUUUUUUUUGAAAUAUUUUGGCCCAAAGUUGAAUACCAGGAAAAAGUUGUUUAGAUCAAAACAAACGCUCCCACGAAAAGAACUUGCUCUGAUACCAAUUGAUGCAAACCGAGAGGUUGCCAAAAUUGAAUUUUGAAAUUUGCUUUUGUUUAAAGGUAAAAGUAGGUUCAAUUUAUCUAUUCCGAUGAACUUUAAGCAAGGAAGCAAAAAUUUCAGUAAGACAAAAAUUAAAAUCGAAUUGAAGUAAUACUAAGAUGAUGAUAAACCUUCAAUAUAUGAGAUAAUAACAACCAAUUGAAAAUACAUAUAAUAGUUCCAAAAGGUAAAUUCGGCUUCAUUGGACUUAAAGCUUUAGGUUUGGUUGUUUGGCAAAUAUAGUUGGUAAUGGUGGAAUGCUAGAUUAAAAGGGGAUAAUAGGAUAUCAGGAGAUGAGAGAUAUAAAAUGUGCACCGUUCACACGAUUGCGGGGGAUCCACGAUCGACGAGGAGGGCGGUACACCACGGGUAGAACUUUGGCAACGGGGAAGAAGAAGAUGAGGUAGUGACUUGGAAGAAGAGGAGAGGUAGAAGUAGAAGCCGAUCUUGUCACGAGGAAGAAGUGACAACGAUCAAGUUGAGAAAGAAGACGAUCUCGGCGCGAGGAAGAAGCGUCGAUGAUCUCACUGGGAAGUAGAACACCAAGGAUAAAGAGUGAGAGUAGAAUUUUCUAUUCAUCCAAAUAUAUCUCCUUGAAGGCUUCAAGAACCAUAUAUUUAUAGUGUUGAGAGUCCUCCUAUAAUAAAUUAUUGUCUUUUCGUUUUCAACAUAACACGGUCACCUAAGAGUCAUGCAUAGAAAACGAAGCAAUUUUGAGAACUUCAAAGGUCUUUUUUUGGGGAAUUCCAAAGGUCUUUUUUGGAAUUGUUUCCUUGUUUAUUGGAGAAAAGGGUUUGGGUUAGCCAAAUCAACUAAAACUAAAUGAUUUAAGUCCGAAUCAAACACGAACCUACAAAAUAAAGGAAAAUUACAUUCAAAAAUAAAAUGAGGUUUAUUUGCUGCAUCACCUCUCCCCUGAUCCUUUAAUCCUUCCCAUGAAAUUUUUAUGAUAAAAGUUCUAAUGCACCAAAGUUUUUGAUUCCUGUUGAAACUAGUCUUUCUGUUGUUUGUAAUAUAAAAUUUCUUUUGCUGUUUUGAGCAUUGAAAAAAAUCCAUGAACCAAUGUUGUCCUAUUUUAAUUUAUUUUCUUAUGACUUUAAAAAAUUUCUUGUACAAAAUUGUACUCACAAUUUCGAUUUUGAGAGAAGAAAGCUUAAUGAUUGGUGCUAAUGUAGUGAUGCGGCACGUUUUCAAAAAGGAGAAUGAAAGUUUUUACUUUUGCUUUUUUUUUUUUGCUUUUUUUUUUGUAAAUGAACCCCCAUGUCUUCUUAGAGUUGAAUAAUUGUUAUGACGAACAAGCUUCGGGAGUUUUUUUUUAUUAUUUUGGUUGAUAUUACAAGGACUAAAUUGAAGUUGAGGUCAAACUUUGGAUAAAGAUUUCUAAUGAACCAUUAAUAAAGAGGCCGCUUUCUUCUCUGUUUGUUAAGAGUCCUCAAGUUAUACUAGGCGUAACUCGAAAUAUCUUUAGUAAAAGAGGUGUACAGAAUCACUUGUCGUUUUGUCAGCUCAUGCUUAUCUGCUACGAAUAUUAUAACAUAUCACAAUUCUGAGAAUUCCCUACUGUAAAGACUCUUAUAGAUGGCAUUUUUGUGUGUCUGUGAGGGAGUCAAUAGGUUUGUACAUGGACGUGGAUUCAACUUCCUCUAGAAAUCAAUACACAUUAUGCUACCUUUCUUUAAAUAUAGAUAUAUUGAAGCUCUGCGAGUAUUAGAAGUACACAAUUCCAUGUUAAGAUGCUUAACAGAAGCAUUCCAAUAGUUGACGCCAUAUGGUCAGCUUGUGUUCUUAUUUCUCUUAUUUCCAUGAUAUAUGCAUACGUGACUGCUUUUGCAGGUUGAAAGUUUCAACUGUUAAACCACAUAAAAUUAUCUUCCAUUUUUCCUUCAAGUAAACUUUCCUUCAAAUCAUUGAUUCUUUCAAUUUACUACAAAGUACCAGGCAAUAAAUUAUAUGAUUUCUAAACUGAAAUGCGUAGAAUUCAUCAAUUUAUUCUUAUUCUUUUUAAACUUAACUCCCCAUUCUAUUCAAAUCUGAUGCCUCUACCUAAACAUAUCCAAUAAACGCUAAUUUAUACUUGAUAACUAAAGUAGAUGCUAAAACUGAUAUAGGUAAUUGAACAGGUUUGUCUGUGCAUGAGCAUGUGUGCAUGUGUGGCAACAUUCUCCUCCUGUCGACUUCAAUUAAUUUCUCACUUGCUUUUAGUCAUUAUACUUCUCGUUGAGCUGUUUUCGACUGUUUAAAAUUUUAAAUGUGGCACAGGUGUUUUGUCUUCAACACAGGGGUUACACCAAACAUCUGUGUCCGAAUGCAAAUCAAAAGGAUGUGACUGUCCUAAUUUGUCCGCUCUGUGCUAAAAGCGUCCGCCUGGUGCCAAAUGAAGACCCGAAUAUCACUUGGGAGUCCCAUGUUAACAGCGAUUGUGACCCGUCAAACUAUCAGAAAGCAACAAAGAAAAAGAGGUGUCCUGUUCCAGGUUGCAAAGAAACACUAACAUUUUCCAACACAAUCCGAUGCAGGGACUGCACCAAAGAACACUGCUUGAAGCAUAGGUUUGGACCAGACCACAAGUGCAUUGGGCCGAAGAAACCGGAUCCCAGCUUCCCUUUCGUGAAUCUGCUACGGAGAAGUCAGAAAGCGGAAUCAGUAUCGAACAGUGCUCCUAUUGGUUCUUCAUGGUGGGGCUCGAGCUUUCUAAAUGCAGCAUCAAAUGCAAAGGCCUCUGCGGAAGCUGGUAUGCUGAGAUUGAGUAAUGCAACGACGGAAGCGUUCCAAAAGGCAAGAGAUGGAAUAGCACAAAGCAGCAGCAGGUUCGCCCUUAUGGAGCAAUGUGUUCAAUGCCAAGCAAGGUUUUCCACAGUGUCAGAUUUGAUCAAGCAUGCCGAGAGAUGUCAUCAAAACACUGUUCAGCUAAAGCGUAACGGGGUAACAAUUGACAUUUGCCCGAAAUGCAGCAAGGGAUUUCAGGAUCCUGUAUUGUUGGUGGAGCAUGUCGAGAGGGACCAUGGAGGAACUUCAAAAGUUGUCCAUUCAACUUAAUUGAAUUACCACCUGUUUCAAUAUCUUGUUCCAUUUGUAACUGUGAUCAAUGAAAAUAUUACUUGAUUGAUAUAUGGAACUUUUAGUAGUUUCUAUUUUUGGUUCCCUUUAUCUUACAAACAUGAUUCAUGCUAAGUGGUAAAUUAUGGCAUCCUUUCUUCCUUGUUCGUAAUGUUUAAUUUUUGUAUAAGCUUUACCGUGAUAAGAAAAUUUGUAUAUUCGUUUUGCUUCGUUGUUAGUAUUCUGGACCCUCGCUAAGUUUCUUUGUUUUUGGGGGUGUUUGGCCUAACUUUUAAGAAGUGAUUUUAGACUCAAAAGUGAUUUUCGGCUCAAUAGAGCAUUUGGCAACCUCGUUUUCAAAAUCUGAUUCUGAUUUUCAAACAGUGCUCAUAUAUGCAUGUAUACUUUUGCAGGGAUAGGUCUGUAAAUAUCUCUUAAUAUAUCGAGCAUAGGGAUGACUUGGGGAUAAAGUGGGCAUAGUGCUAUUCUAAUGCCGAAAUAGUUAUUCCGUGAUCAUCCUUCAAUCACGUGGUAUGAAGAGAACGAUUGCUCCUGGUGUGCCUUCUUUUGCUUCUUUUUGGCGUAUAUAUCCCGAUCAAUGCUGUGUUUUAGUCCUUCACGUCUUCUUACUUCAGUAAUAGAAAGCAUUCUUUGUUGUGCAUAUUAGUCUUAACUGUGCUUUUUUGUGCAUGUUAGUCUUAGCUGUGCAUAUUAGUCUCUAGGACAAAGCCAAGAUUGCCCAGGAUAAUCAGUUAUCUCUUUAUUAAGAGUUUAUCCAAUGAGUGAGAUGCAUCCUUAAUUGUAAAUCAAAAUACUCGUGUUGGAUUUCCUUUCUAUACAGAGUUAAUUUUCAAAACCUUCAGUGCUGCAAUAGAGUUAUUUCAUUAGUUAUCUUGACUUGGAUUUCACAAAUUGGAAAAUUUCCACAGAUUGUGGUUAUUCUUAGUUCUAGCAAUGUAGGUCUCUUCAAAAUAGUUAUGAUUAUUGGAAACUAGUUUGUGUUUAAGCAUUGUUUCCGGGGAUACCGUCGAUUUAUUUACUUAUUUUCUUAUACCUUUGAAAAUUAGUUAAAAUGCAUGGAGACGAUUAUACGAGAAAGGACUUUGGAUCCUGCUUGCCGCUAUUCUUCUUUAAUGGGGUCUCCACACUUGAGUUCAGAGUUGGCGCCUCCUUUUCAAUCUAGUUCAAGAAUCACUGCUAAUUUGGCACCUGAAUCAAUUCAUGGCUCCUCUAUUUCUAACUUCUCUACAGCGCUUGGUAAUGACCGUUCUUCUUUUCAAAGUGAGUUGAAUUGAAUAGAGAAGUUUGUGAAAUUUGACUCCUCUGCAUUAUUUUAGCAACAAUUAUAUGGUCUCUUGCAGGAUAUCGACCUAAUGGACAGCAUAGAGUGGUUGCUAACUUCUCUUCUUGUUCGAACGGUAGAGUUAUGGAUUCAAUUGGCAGCAUUUUGGGAACAAAUUUCGCUCAUCAAGCUUCUGAUUCAUCAUAUUUGUGUUCUACUCCCUGUAACGCUUUGUUAGCAAGAGCUGUCCAGAACAACGGAGCAAGUUCAAAUAUAUUAUGUGUACGUGAUAAUGGAUCGAGGUCUCUCAAUGAUCAAACUAGAAUGAUCUUUGAGCAGUACAAUAUAUAUGGUACUAGUUAUUCUUUGCAUGGUGCGUUAAUUUUAAUGGGAGGUUCAGCUUGUCUCAGUUGCAUUCUGUUCGGAUUUCUUAUGGCUACCGACAAGAUCUAAGCAAAAGUGAUUUUCAAAGUUUAAGUGAUUCCGAUCAAUAUUAUAUGUUUUGAAGCUUUUAAUAGUUCUUUUAUGAUCUUGAUGCUUUCUUUUUUUCUCGUUAUAAUUGUAUCACAUUUGUACUUGGCAGAUAAUACACAUUUGAGCUCGGGCUCUGAAGCAUGUGUUCCUUGGAUGCGCAAUUCAUCUCUAUCAGCACUUGGUUCCUGCAGGAAAUCUAAUUUUAUGGAUAAAUUCAAUUGCGAAUCCCCCUGUGUUACUGGACUGUGCUGGAAUGGCUUCUAUUUUGGGCUUAGGGGCAUCGAAGCGGGCCACGAAGCAUUCACAAAUUUCCAGAAUCAGUUCUGGAGGCGCAUGAUUUAUUACAAGGGCAAUCUUCUCAGGAUACCCAAUUUAGUAACAAUCAUCACCAUGUAUUGCAAAAAGAAGAUAACUUUGGGCAGCAAAAGGAGUUGACUGAGAAAAAUGCUGUAGGCCCUUCACAGUGGAACAGUAAAUUAAUUGAUUUUGCUCAGGUGAACAGUAAUGUUGCAGAAACUCAUGAAAAGUCUCCUACCUCGAGUAACAAAUUGGGCUUGGAGAAAUUGAUUAAUUUUCUAGUUCUUUAUGAACAUGUAUUGAGCUGCCCACUUCGUGAAAGGGAAUGUGAUGUACACCUUUGUCCAAAUUUUAAAGAGAAGCUUAAUCACAUUUUGAAUUGUAAUGUUAAAGGUUGCGAAAAAAGUUGUUAUGGGCCCGGGGUAAUCAUCGAUCAUUAUAGCAAGUGCCGCUCAAUUGAAUGCUAGUUGUGUGGUCCAGUCUGGAGAAAAUUAGCAGAAGUUCCUGACCAGCUGCGACCUGCAAAACAUUGUAGGACUGAAAGCUGUAGUGCCUUUCUCUCCAGUCAAAAUGAAACUUUUAAAGAACAAUGGCCUGCCCUGAAUUCUAAUGGUUCUUCUUCCCAAGGUUCAUCGAGAACAUUUCAAGGGACACUGAUGUCUACGAAUGUGAGCUCUGAGAUUCAAGUGUGUCUAUGAAUCAGAAAUUUCUUGAUGCUUCUACUUCUAAAGUUGACGACUGGAAUGUGAACCUUGUGAGGCUGGAAGAGACUAAAGUGCAACAAGAGCAAGAAAAGACAAAGAUGCAGAAUGAGGUCGAUGAUGCAGUUGAAAUGCAAGAAAAUGCAGAAAUUCAGAACAAGGACAAUGACUUCGUCGUCAGGAUGCAAGAAGACGCACAUAUUAAGGACGAGGACGAUAAAAUCGUGCUCAAGCUACAAGAAAAAAUAAAAAAUUAGAAUGAAACUGGAGUCAGAAUUGUGGUCGAGAUGCAAGAAAAUUCACAAAUUCAGAAUGAGGGCAGUGAGUGCCCAUAAGGAGAUAGCCGGGCCCUAACACGGGUGAGCAGCAGAGGGUUCCGGUGUCAAAUUUGACACUUCCAGAAAUCCAGAUCGGAAUGAUUAUCCGACGAUAAUCGUUUCGACUUGAGAUCUUGUGUUCGCUACCUGGACACCCAAAGCGGUGUGUUUCGGGUCAGCGGGUGACUCGUGGAACGAGUCGAUGCACUUCGUGACACUUCUUGGGUCCCAACGGUGUCCCGAUAUGAUUUUUGGGAGUUCCGACGAGUUACAAUGAUUGGUUUUUGGGAAACUGACUAUGUGAGAAAUUAUGGGGAUUGUGAGUGUUAUGUUUUGAGUCAGUAGGUUGGACUCUGACUCUAUGGACCCUUUGUAGGUCUGGUCGACGACCUUGCAUAUUAUAGGGACAGACGCGAUAGAGAUACAGGUGGGUACUUCGAUCCGAAGUCGGUCUAGUGGUGCACGCUCGCUGAUGUUCCCUCCACCUUCACUUUCUAUACUUCUUGCAUUACUUGUGAUUGUUGAGCCUGACACCACACGACCCUGUUGCAUAUUGCUCUACUUAUUUAUUUUCAUAUUCACUUAUUGUGAUCUAGAAGUAGAGCGGUUAUUUACUAUACCUGUGGAUUGCGACUUUCGUUGUGACCUAGUUGGUCGGUUCUAUAACUCCUGUUGUUUGAUGACUAUUCGGUCGGUAUAUCCUGAGGGUUUUGAUUGUUGGCUAUUCGCCGACAACUAUUGAUCAUAUUUGCAUCUAUCGCCAUUCCUCGUGCGCAAUUCACGUACACUAAUAGUUUGGCCACCGCAACGAUGUUCUUUUCCGAAAUAAUGGUUGGGAGUGCCAACCCGUAAGCCCAGAAGCUUAUGCUAGGGGUAUACGUCAUUUAGAAUGGCGUGGCACUUACCUUAAGUCUUUAGAUCGACACGGCGGAUUUUAAUUGGGUACUUUGGGACUAUUGUCCGGUUGAUACAUUUUACUUACAGUAGUGGUAGCUGUAGAUGCAUCUUGCUUCAUCUUUUACUUUGCUACUGACCUACUGUAUUACCUUUCACAGCUAUACUUUUGGUUACCAGUGAGUACACUCGCCCUCGUUGGCUUGCGGUACCCCUAGUUGGUUACCAGUGAGUACACUCGCCCUCGUUGGCUUGCGGUACCCCUAGGAGACCCUUGUUGGUUCCUCACCCCCAAGUUCAGAUAAUUUUGGAGGCACGAGUCGGGACGAGGCGUGAAGACGUAACCAGCAAGCGAUAGAGGUCCUAUCCCGGUAGUAUUUUGGUUCUAGACUUUACACAUUUUUUAUUGAUAAAUAAUCCAAACUAUUUAUGUGGUUCAACUUAACUCUUGUUGGUUUUGUUCUGAUUUUACUUUGAGUUUGAAAUAUUAAAUAAAUCUAUUUUGUAAGCACCAUGUGGAUUUAUGAAAAUAAUUUUCUAUCCCUCGUGGUAGCUCAUUUUCAAAGAUAAUAAAAGGUGUCCAUGUGGAAAACAGUUUUUUAAAAAAAAAUUUGCCUUUUCGUGAGUUUAGUAUUUCAAAAAUAAGUUUCCAAAUGGAAAACACUUUCAACUUUUAAUUAUGAAAUGUUGCAAAUCUUGUAAUGUACUGUUGUGAAUGUGCAAUUGUUAAUGGAUGUGAUUGUGACUUGUACUAUGUGUGAUGCCGGUAAAUAUAAGAAAGACUCUGCCUGCAUGGACAGUAUAUUUUCUGUAUUUGUAACGAGUCUAUCAUCCCUUGGAUCAAGAUUUCAAAAGAAAAAAUAUGGUAUAUUUCUCACAGAUCCAUUGACUUCAAAUUAGCCCUCCUUAAGGGCUUUAUAAAGAGCUUUAGGUUAGUGAACUUCAAUCUCACAAGACAUCUGCUAACUUGUUGAUAUACACACACUAAUCCAACCACGAAAUCACAACAUGAGAAGAACAAGACACUAGGAAAAGAAGAAGGGCUUUUUUUGCAAUUGGACCCCUGAAAAAAAUUAUUUUUAAAAAUAAUCCCAGCAAAUUUAUAUUUGCAAAAAUAGCCCUGUCCCUGCCACCCAAGCGUCACGUCAGCGCCACGCGGGCAGGACUGGAGGCGGUAGUUAAGUUAAACACGGUGAACCAUUCACCGUUCUAAACAUGGUGAAUGAUUCACCGUGUUUAGAGCUAAUACGUAUUUUUUACAAUAUAAAUAUUUGAAGGUGAAUGGUUCACCGUGUUUAGAGCUAAUACGUAUUUUUUAUAAUAUAAAUAUUUAAAAAAAGGAAUAGAGAGUAGAAAUGUCAAUGGGUAUGGAUAUCUGAAAUAUUAUUCGAACCCAAACCCGAAUAAAUUAUAUAUAUACAUAAUUUUUUUUAUUUAUUUAUACAAUAUAUAAAAUAUUUAAUAAUUUUUAUUUCUUAGAUCUUUAUCCAACAUUAUAGAUUUUUAAAAUCCGCUGGAUUCAGAUUCGGAUUUCGAGUUUUUGGUCGGACAUGAGUAUAAAUUUUUAAAAUCCGUCAGAUUUGGGUUUUAAUUUGAUUUUCGAAUUCUGGAUUUGGAUUUUUGAAAAAGGGAAAAAAAAAGGAAUAAAAAUAUGAAACACGGUGAACCAUUCACCGUGUUUGAACACGGUGAAUGGUUCACCGUGUUUAACUUAACAUACUGGCCCCGGCCCUACCUGCGUGCCGCUGACGUGGCGCCUGCGUGGCAGGCCCAAGACCAUUUUUAUAAAUUAAAUUUUGAUAGGGCUAUUCUUAAAAUAAAAAUUUGUUAGGAGGCUAAAUGCAAAAAAAGCCCAAAGAAGAAACAUCACAGCGCAAACAUUAGGAUUGAAUAGUAAGCAAAAUGGAUCGCUAAUAAUUACAAGCUACAGAUAGGGAAAACAAAAAAAUCUAAAGGAAAAUUCUUCCUAUGACCGACAAACAAUUCUACCUCCUGCAUGGAUCAAAGUAAAUAAAAUUGACAACAUAAAUAUAUCUUCUACAUUUUCUUUUAAUGCAACAGUACUGCAACCAUUACUAUGCAAGAGCACCAAGUGAUGGACUAGCAUAGCAAACUACCACAUAAAUCUCUGCACCCCAGCCUCAUGUUCCCAACGAAAUGGACGAAACAAAAACAUAGCCAUUGUGAAAAUAUCCACAGCAGCAUACAGAAGCCCCAAGACCAGCCACUUACUAUUUUCGGUAGCUGGGGAAUGGAGAAUUAGUAAAAAGAAAGGGAUUGUGAAGUAUCUGAACUCAAUCAGUGGAGCGGGGAUGAGAACUAGUGCGACGCAGAGAACAAAAGACAACACCCAAGCCCUUUUUUGUGAUUCUCCUGUAACAUGAAGAAGCAAAAUAAUAAGCUGAAUAGGGGAUAAAUCAGAUCAGUAAGUGGUUAGGCUUCUAUUACUCACCUAAAAUUGUAAUGAUAGAAAACCAUGAGUAGACAUAAAGAGGGACUAAGAUGUAUUUCAUUGUCGAGUGUGCUUGGAUAACCUUCCUCCAGAUAUAGAAAGGGUAAUGGCGAUUAUCGGCUAGAAGAUAUGGAUGAGCAAUACUGCAAGCACAAUAUAAAGAAAUCAUAAAAUCAAUAAAAAAAAAAAAGGCUCACUUUUUUCAGGUCCAUCUGAAUGGGAACUAGAACAUUUAGUAUGUAUGAGAUAACAACAAGGAUAAAGCUCAAUCAAAACCCCAGAUUUCACAUGGCAUUUAUAUAAUUCAACAAGACCAUUUGAAAAAAAAAAAAAAAAAAAAAAAAAAAAAAAAAAAAAAAAAAAAAACGUUAAUUUAUUUUUGGACUACACAACUUUAUCAACAUUCUUGGUUUUCCAUAUUUAGACCAAAAUACAUUUUUCCUGGAUGAAAAUGUCCACGAUUGAAGUUUCUAAUGAAUAUAUUAGUCAUAAGGAGUGCCACAGAUAUUAAGUCAAUAAAAGAGAUUUCAGCCAGAAAUUGCAGCAUCCUGCUGAAUAAAACAAAAUUAAUGUUUACUGUUUUUUUUUCCCCUUCCCAAAAAUAGGUUCAAAGAAUUAUUGUUUGCUCGAAGCUUUAUUAUGUGAGUAUAGGAAAGGUUCAAUGAGCUUCAGCAUUAAAUACUAUAAUAUUUAUGAAAUUCUCCGUCUAUCCUGUCAAUUCUAUCUUGUGUGUUUACCUCUGACACUGUUCAAAAUUUAAUAUGCCGUCACCAUGAGCCCAAACUUUUAUCUAUUAUUGUAUUUUUGGUAUUUACUGACUCCAUGUUACUUAAAAAGAGCCCAUCCAAGAGCCAAGUCUCCUAAUCAGCUAUUGCUUUACGAAUCCAAACAAGAUCAAAGUCCUGUUUCAAAAUAAAACUCUGACCUGAAAAAGUGCACAAUUAUACAACUUGUGCCAAGAGCUGCGAAAACUAGAAAAGAGCCAAGAACCUUGUUACGCUUAAAUAAUUGGCAUAACUUUGCUACUUGGUGAGGAGUAAAAUGAAAAGGAGCUAGGGCCGCAGCUGACACCAGACCAAAGUACAACAACUGUGCAAAGUGUGGAGAAACCACGUGAGCUUCUUUUGCACCUGCAACAUUGCAAAAAAAACAAAUUGUAAAGCUUGUUUUCUCUAAAACAAUAAGAAUUUGUUCAAUUCUAGUGCAGCACGACAAUUUAAAAGGUGGCAGCUAAAAAUAAAUACCAAGAACUAUGCCCCUAUUCCAAAUAAUGAAGGCCGCAAAUGCUAUUAGAAUCAUGGCAUAGGGCGCAAAGGCAAUCAAGACUUUCCACUUCAAAGACCAUAACUUCAAGGUGAUAUCGAGUAUUUCAAUAAUAAUACCUGCAAGAUAAUUCUAUUCGAUGUCAAAUAAACAUCAAGGAAAGCGAUUAAUAAUAGUUUACCAAACAUUGUUGCUGAACUUUUUAUCAUAGACAAAGAUAAGUAACAUUUUGACUAGUUCCUACCCGGGGAAUGAAAAUGGGAAUAUCCACUUGAUUCACUACUACGCAGCUUAUUGGUAUUUGCAGAAUUAUUCAUUUUUCUUCUCCUCAAACUUGGAAAAGUUGAAGUUCUUUUCUUGUUAGUUAGUAAAUUGUUUUCCUCCUGGAUUAAUUGCUCAUUCUCCCCUGGAAAACUCUUAGUUUCAUAGAAGUCCUCUGCGUAUUUGAUAGCUCCAUUAGCAGCUACAAAUAUCACCCAUACAACAUUUGUCUGCCGGAAAAGUAUCGCCAAAGCUCCGAGCUGCAGAAAAUAGAAUGCACAUAUAAAGUAAAAAAUAUCAUUGGAAGAGUAUCACCGCUGCAUCACAACAUUGUUGAGAUAAAGUAAAGAAGAAAGCAAGCUUUGUCACAUGCUUGGUAAUAAGGAAAGAUUGAAUAGCUCAAACUACCUAAAAAGUGUUUGCUCAAAAAUUAAACCAGGCAUAAAUUUUUAUACCUCCUAGUUUUAUUCCUUUCUGGAAUUCCUAUCAAAUAUUCUAUUUGACUAUAGAUACCAGUGAAGUAUCAUGCAACCAUAAAAUACUGGCAUAAUAUCUCUAUUCAAUUAAAAACACCAUGUAUAAUCUUAACUGUUGACAAAACUAUAUUGCAGCGUAAAAGGAAAAACAACUCAUGAUAAAUGAAUUAAAGUGUGACAUCCAAGCUGCAAACAGACUACAUUGAUUGCUGUUGUAUAAGAUGGUUAAAAUGUACAGAUGAUCCCCAAAUUUCCACAAUAUCGCGACUGUCUGUGGACAUUUCACUCGGAUAAUUUAGUUCAUAAACUUUCUUACGUGUUGCAAUCACUGCCCAAAACCCGUUUAACUGUCCAAAAGAAAACCUAAUAUCUGUUACGUGACAUGCUCCGCACCAGACUCAUUUCCUGUAAGAGGACGAAUUUAGCCUGGCACAAGACUCUAGCUAUAAUAUAUAUUUCCUGUAAGAUGACAUAUUUAGCCCUGGCAGUAAGAAUGUAAGAUGACAAAUUUAGCCCUAGCACGAGACUAGCUAAAAUACAUCAGAACAAAGACUCAUGCGCUAGGUAUAAAUAACAAUUCUAUAGGAAAAAAAAAAAAAAUCAACUGCUAGGCAAGGUUUAAAGUGCCGUGACACGGGAGCGUGCCGAUGUCUGUCUGGCAUGGUAUGGCACCGGCACGCUUCCGUGCCGACAUAUGGUACGCUUGCAUGCCGAUGGAUAUGCAUAACCUCCUACUGGAACGCUUUGUCACGGACUUAUUUCAAUUUUUUUAGUUCUAAUAAGCUCUUAUAAUGUUAUUUUGAAAGAUUUAAUCAAAUAAUUAUGAAUAUUUGCUAUGUAUAGCUUACUAUACUCAUUAAUUAACAUAUUUGUAAGCUUUUUUGUAUAUAAAGUACAAUUAUACUGAUGCAAAAUAGAAAUUGUUACAUGUAAGAAUUUUUAAAAUGCAAAGAUAUCUUUUUUUCAUUAUUUCUUUUGACCAUAUUACAAUCUUUCUUUUAUAAAAUAUAAAAAAAUAAUUUUAAAAANUUAUUUUAAAAAGUAUUUAAAAAAAAUUAUUUUUUAAUUAAUUUUUUCAAAAAAAUUAGUAGAUCUAUCAAAAAAAUUAAGCAAUUAAUUAUAUGACAAAUAAAUUAAAUAAAUUUAAGUAUCAAUUGAUUUAAUUUAACUUUUAAUUUUAUCAGCAUUUUCAAUCUUCUAGCGCAAAAAUAAAAUUUUUAUGUUUGAUGUGGCUCAAAAUUUGUUUAUUGAGUUCGAUGUUGUUCCCUUAAUUCGCCAAAAAUUUGGCAAUGCGACAAAUUUUGAUAAAAUAAUUUGUGAAGAAAAAAUAGAUAUCUGUGGUGGAAGCGGAGGGCUCGGACAAAUCUUUUGUCCGUAUAUUGAUAAACAAAAAAAUUAAAUUAUAAUUUUUUUGACUUAUCUAAUAAGUAAAUUUUCGAUUGUAAUGUUUUUGGGAGGGCGUGGAGUACCCAGAAUGCUUUGGAUAUCCCAAAGAACAAAACAAAAGAAAAACAAAAACAAAAGGAAAAAAAAAAAAAGCACAGUGCCGGCACGGCACUGUGCCGUGGCACACUGCGCAGUGCCGCUCUGUCUCGUGCGGCACGGCGCUGCGUACCGCGGCACGGAGGGGGGUCCGAGACCCCCCUGUACCGUGCCACCUUCUUGGUGGCAAGGUAUGUGCCGCCCCGUGCCACACUUUAAAGCUUGCUGCUAGGAUUAAAAUGGCUGUUUAUAACAAAUGGAUCAAGUAUGGACAACGUGGGCGCAACAAGGCCAAAGAUACGAAUGCAAAAUGUAGGAAAGUUGAAAAACCAACUUUCAGUGAAAAGUUCAAGGUCUGAGUCACAAUAUUGUGAUUUGCAAAUGUACAGAGUGAUAGAAUGCUUACAAUAGCACUGACCCAGAAUCGCUUCUUCAGGCUAGCCAAGUACAUUGCAAGAACAGCGGUGAGUGAAGCUAUAUCCGUAUAGUACAGGAAAGUGAAGAACCAGUGCACAGGGUAUAAAGAUAUCAAAAUAGCAUAAAAACUCGCCCUCCUUUCGCCUAUACUUGGCCUCAAAUGGACAAGAAGGUCAUGAACAAGUAUGCUGCAUAUGAUUGUCAGAGCGACAUUAGUCGAUCGGAGGAUGGUAGUAGAACAAAGUUGGGACAACGACUGCACUCCAUUAAUCAACCACAUGCCUGGAAACAAAGAAGCAACAUAUGCAAGUGAAACAUAGUACCUGCAAAAUUGUGAAAUAGUAGAACUCUAAGCAACAAUUGAUGUUAAAUCACUCAUGCAUAACAUAUAGCAGUCCUAUAACGAUGUGAUCAAUCAGAAUAUAAAGAGAUAUUUAUGCAAUUUAUUCUGAAAUAUAUUCCUGCAGAACCUCAAUUUCACAGAUUCCAUUAAACUACUUAUUUUCUAACAUAUACAACGUUCUCCUCAAAAAAAUUCUUAGUUUCUAGCAUAUACACCGUUCUCCUCAUAGAAAUGGCAAUAGCUAUAACCAUUUAACUGAACCUGCAGUUCCGCUGCCGAAAAGUGGAAAACGGUUAGAGCCAUUAAAUUACUACCAAAUGGGGAGUUAGAACCACUAAAGUUACUAUGAAAUGGGGUCUUAUAGCCAUUAAAUUGCUAUCAAAUGAAAUAUUCGGUAUUCAUCUACUGCUACAUCCCAAACUUUCAGUCGAGUUUCACUUUGUUUCUAGAACUUUUAAAUUUGACAUUCGACUCCCUGAACUUCUAGAAUUGUUUCACUUUUGUCCGUGCUAUCACUUAUGCCCUUCAACCAUUUCUUGAAUAUAUAUAUAUAUAUAUAUAUAUAUAUAUAUAUAUAUAUAUAUAUAAAAGCGGAUAGAAAAUUUUUAGUUGAUCGACGGAAUCCUCGAUAGAUUAAAAGAAUAUUCUAUACACAUAAAAAAAAAAACUAAUAAAAAGCAAAUCACGUUUGAAAAAUAAAAUGAUUUAAAAACACCUAUCAAAUCUACAAUUGUUUAAAUUCAAAUAAUUGAUUCAAAAUAAACUUUAAAUUUUGAGUUUGAUUCAUAAAUUUAAAUCUAAAUGAACACAUAAAAGAUAUUCACAGUAUAACUAAAUUGGAAACAUGAUUAAAACAAAUCAACAUUAUAAAAGAAAUCAAUUGAAAAAUAAAACGNUAAUUGAUUCAAAAUAAACUUUAAAUUUUGAGUUUGAUUCAUAAAUUUAAAUCUAAAUCUAAAUUUUAAUUUUAAAUUUUAAAGUUGGGUUACAUUAAAAAAAAAAAAUUUGUAUGUUAAUGAACACAUAAAAGAUAUUCACAGUAUAACUAAAUUGGAAACAUGAUUAAAACAAAUCAACAUUAUAAAAGAAAUCAAUUGAAAAAUAAAACGCAUGCCAUUAAUAACCAUUUAAAUUCAAAAUAUAGAUUCAUAAUUUACUUUAACUUAAAUUUCGUACUUAAAUUUAAUUUAAUUUACUAAUAUGAUGUGCAUUGCACGUGCAUUAUAACUCUCUCUCUCUCUCUCUCUCUCUCUCUCUCUCUUAUAUGAGUUGAGCUAGAAUACUAUAGGUAGCAAACGGGCUCUGUUGCUACUGAUUUGUUUUCGAUGAUGGAGCCUUCAAAUCAACGAUCAGCACUAUUGGAUAUGAUCUACACCACUUGAAGUAUCUAAAAAUCAAAUUUUAUGUUUUUCCGAUAUUGUUCUCUAUGCAUCAAGCGGACAUAAAAAUGAACAGCUCAAAAUAAAUAAUCUUCAAAAAGUAAUGAGAGGAUUCUUGCAAUCAAGAUCAAGUCUUGAUCUUGUUUUAAAUAGGUUAAAGAAUUAUCUAGCCAAAAUUCAAUUUAUUUAAAUUUGUUUACACCGUUAAACUAGCAAACCCCUCAUAUCGACCAUUAAAAUUACAAAAUUUGCAACCCUUUGAUCAUUAGGUCAAUGAUGUUGAAAAUAUUUAAAAUUUGAUUUCUAAAUACUACAAGUGCUUUAGAUCAUGUUCAUAAGUGUCAAUUGUCGAUUUAAAGGCCCCAUCAUCGACAACGAAUCGAUAGCAACGAAACUCAUUUGCAAUCGAUAAUAUUCUAGCUCAACUCAUAUAUAUAUAUAGCAGGGCUGCUGUGCUAUAGGAAGCACAACAGUUCUUGUGCUCCUAAGUUCCUAGCCAUCCAUCAAUUCUUAAGUUCGUAGCCAUCCAUCAAAUUGAUGGAUGACUAGGAUUAUUCUCUUUCUUUUUCACCAUCUCUUUUAAUUUCCUCUCUUUUUGAAUUUCUCUCCAAUUUCUCUUAUCUCCCUCACCCUUUUCACCACCAUCACAUCCAUCUCAACCUACCUACCACCAUCAACAAACCCCCCCAUCACCAUAUGCCGCCGCCCCCACACCACCUCCCCCACCCCCACCGUCUCCUCCGCCUCUGCCUCCGCCAUCCACUCCACCAUCCCAUCCCUCCCCCGCGGGCCGCCUCUAUCGUCGCCCCUCCCCCACCCAAACCCGUGCCGCUGCCGGCAGAAUAGGGGUUGGGUUGGGGAGGGGGGCAACAGUGGCUGCCCUCCAAGAAGAAAGAGAUCUGCGGGGGAGGUGGAAGGGGCAAAGACAGCGGUGGCCACAGGGAAGGGGGCGAUGACGGCGACGGCCUGCAUGGGACCAAGGGGAGGGGGAAGUAGAGGGGUUGGGGGUAAGGUAAUGGUAGGGCUGGGCGUGUGGAGAGAGAGAGAGAGAGAGAGAGAAGAGUAACUGAGUGAGAGAGAGAGAGAGAGAGAAGAGAAAUUGAGAGAGAGAUAUGAAAAAUUGAGAGAGAAAUAAGAUUGAUGGAUGGUUAGGAACUUAAAAGCACAAGGGCUACUAUGCUCUUAAUAGCACAGCAGCCCUGUUCUCUAUAUAUAUACUUCUUCCAGAAAUGCUAGUAACAGUUAAACUCUUUAAUGGAACUUGCAGUUCCUUUGCAUAUAAAAGUGAUAAAAUCAUUCAAGUUGGUAAAUCACUAUCAAAUUGGGUGCAUUGCACCACUAGUCCCUAAAUUUCUAAUCAGGUUUCACUUUGGCCUUUAAAUUCUAGGUCUAAAAUUCGACACCCCAAACUUUUACAAUUGUUUUUCUUCAGUCCCUACAAUCAUUGUUUGGUUAGAGAAAGAAUUAUUUUAUGCACCUGGUGCAUCCGUACUUCAAAUAAUCCAACCAUUUAAUUUCUAAUAAAAGUAAAGCUAGGCUGCAACUCUAAAGGUGUGUUUGGUUGGUCGUAAAAUGUAUCGAGAAUUACUUUUUGGCUUGAAAAUUUGUUUUCCAUGUGUUUGUUUAGGGGGUGUUUGGUUUGUUGUAAAAGUAGGUUGAAAACUAUUUUCAGUUUGAAAAAAAAAAAUUUCCCAAUUGUUUGGUUGCUUGUAAAAGAGAUUUUCGUAAAAUAACUUCACAUAUUCUCGAAAAAAUCGACCUUUUCGUUUUUCCACUCAAAUCGAGCAAAAAACGAAAACUUUUACUCCCUAAAAAUGCAGCGUACAGAGUCUAUGCAUAAAAACCUCACGGGGUCCGCGAGAAAGAAUCCAACCUCGUGAACAAUCCAACCUCGUGAACCACAUAAGUUACCCAACCCAAGAGCCAUGUUCUGGUUGCACUAUUAUAAAAAUUAAUUAAUAAUAUUAAAUAUACACUACAUUUGUAAUAUGAUAAUAUUAAUAUAUAUUUCAUAUAAAUUUAAUAUAUUUUUUAAUUCACAUAUUAUCUAUUAAUAAACUAUAAUAUUGUAAUAUUGCAUUGAUUUUAAUACAUGUUAAACAAUACAAUAUAUCUAUAAUAAAAAAAAUUUAAUUUUUCAAAUGACCAAAAAAAAUAUAUGCAUCUUUUUCAUUCAUUUUUCCUAAUAUAUAUAGUAUGAUAAUUAUUAUAUAUCAAUAAAUAUAAUANUAGUAGCCCCACACUAUAUAUAUAUAUAUAUAUAUAUAUAUAUAUAUAUAUAUAUAUAUAUAUAUAUAUAUAUAUAUAAUAAUUUUUUAUUUAUCUUUUCCUUUCUUUUCAUUUCAACCAAACAACCAUGAUGAAAAACUAUUUUUCUUUUACUACAAAUCAAACACUACAAAAAGUAAAAGUUUUUUUUCACUGAAAAUCUUUUUUCAUGAAAAAUUAUUUUUCACAGUUUUACGUUGACCAAACAGACCCUUAGUCGUAAAAAAAUAUUUCGGAAAACUAUUUUUACAGAUUUGAGGAAAUUGAAGUGUUUUCCUUUGCCACCGAUUUUCGAUGGAGAACGGAAACUCAAACUGCGUAAAACUUUUUUUCUUCAUUUUUUUUUUCACUGAACCAAACAAAUGUGGAUUAUUUUUUCCUUUCAACCAAACAAAUAUUGAUGGAAAAUAUUUUUUUUCUGUACAAAGCAAACACAACAAAACAUAAAAAUUUUUUCUCACCGAAAUUUUUUUUUCUAUAGAAAACUAUUUUUUAGAGUUUCACAUACAACCAAACACCUCCUAAGCGUUGCUGGAAUUGACAUAUGAAAACACCCUCUAGGCGUUGCUGGAAUUGACAUAUGACUAUAUGAGAUAAGAUAGAGGACAAAUAAGUGAGUCGCACAUGAUGGAUGUGAAAGAUGCACUUUGUGUAGGCAAGAAAUGCUCCUUCUACAGUAGAUCAGGACAAUGAUUAUACCCAUUCGAAAGUUCAGAAAAUCGAAUGCCGCACUUAAGUUGAGGACCAAAAUGAAACUUGACUAAAAGUUUGGGGGCUAAAGUUUGACAAAAUCCCCAGAAAUAACUCAAAUCAAAACAACCAAAUUUCCGUGAGGGUGUCAAUCAAAAAAGUAAAGCUGCAGGGUUACAUUUCAACAUCGAUACAUUUUAACCCCCCGAAAAAAAGAAAAGCAAAACAUUAAUAAAGGUUUCUCAUUUCCUAUUCUAUGAAAGACAGAUGCAGAUCAAAAAGUUUGGGAAUUUAGACUCACAGUCCCGGAGGAGUGGUGAUCAUGGGAUCCCAAGAUCGCAAGUCCCCUCCACAAUAUCUCUGCGCCUGCGGUACGUGGAAUAUCUCAUCCUGGUCCCAACAAUGAAAACAAUUUCACAGAGCAAUUAGCACAACCAUCUAUGGCGCAUUCCAAAAAUUCCAAAAAAAAGGAAAAAACCAACAACAAUACUGCGAUAAGAUAACCAUAUUCACAAAGGAAUUGACACAAACACCUACGUUGCAUUCCGACGACACCCCCAGAAAAAGAUAAAAAAGCGAUAAUUCAAGGAUAAGGUAUCCGGAUUCACAGAGGAAUUAACACAAACACCUGCAGCGCAUAUCACAACAGAAUCCCCAAAAAAGAGAAAAGGAAGAAAAAAGGAAAGAGAAAAAGGGAUUUGAGAAGGAAAUGGAUUGGGGAUCGAACCAUGUAGGGAUCGGGGACCAGGCGAUCGACCAAGAUCGCGAUGGGGAUCGCCCACGCGCCCGCCGCCGCCGCCACCGCGAUCCGGCCCAUCGCGAGCUGGGGGACGAAUCGACUCGAAACGAAUCAAAAUGGACGCUUCGGUGUUUAAUUUGAAGCGCCCGCGCGUGCAGUAGUAAAUAAGACUACAACCGGUACGCUGUGCGGGAUAAAUAUUUAACUGGAAAAUGCUAACCAGAUAGGGGCCCGUGCUGGGGUCUGAGCAUGCGGCCCACGGCCACUCCCGGCACGGCCCUCCUCUCGGGGGCUGGCAGUGCUAGGCCGCACGUCAUCGGCUGGCGGCCCGCACAUGAGGCAGGCUGUGCCACCGGGCCAGUAUGACCCAACAUAUUUUGUAUUAAUUUUUUUUUAUACUUUAUAUAUAUUAUACAAAUAUAUUAAAAGUAUUAAGAAAAAGUUAUCAGAAAAGGUUUUUAAUAACAACUAUAUAUAUCAUAUAAUACUAAUAUAAGAAAGUUUAAAAGUUAAAUAAAAAAAAAAAUUAACAGGAUUCAAAUAACACAUAUAUUUAUAUAGAGCUAGGUUGGUAUACUAUCGGUAGCACGGAGACCAAGUUGCUUUCAAUGAUGCGGCUUCCAAAUCGAUGAUCGGCUCCGUUAGACUUGAUCUACACUAUUGAAAGUAUUUGAAAACUAAAUUUCAUAAUUUUUCGACAUCAUUUACCUAUCAAACGAGUGGUCUAAAAAUGAACAGCUAAAAAUAAAAAUCUAAUAAAAAAUGAUGAUAAAAAACUUGAAUUUAAGAUUAGAGAUAUUGAUCUUACUCUAAAUAGNCCUCGACCUGGGACCGGUCUCUCAGCCUGCCCACGAAAAUCCAACGUUCGGGAACCGGUCUCUCCCUGCGCGGGACCGAUCUCUCCCCGCGCAGACGCGCUCGGGGACCGGUCUCAAAUGCCAGGGACCGGUUGCCUCGCCUGCUGCGCAGCACUGUUCACUGGAGGACCGGUCUCUCCUAUCAGGGACCGGUCCCCGAGAGUAAAAACUCUCAGGACUCUGCCAAAGCUCUCGAGUUCGAACUUUUAGGCCGGUAUACCAUCGACGGCCCUCCACCAAGUGUGGAAAAGUUCGGAAUACACAUCGAACACUCGAACCUCGCAAUUUGCAAAGGUCCAGUGUGCUACAAAUUAUCAUUUACGUAAAGAGGUAUAGUUGAGCAAAAUUAGCAAUCAAAUUAUCGUUUAUAAUUUCCGGUUAAAACUCGGUGCAUCCUGCUAAUUAAUUGAUACUUAAUCACUUAAGUACUCUUUUUUUUUCUAUUACUUGUUGUAGUCGCCAUUUCUCGAGCUGCAAUUGUUUGCAUAUUUUAGACUGCAUCACUUUACUCUCAAUGACUACGGUGGCAAUAUACAGAUCCAAUCAACCAACUCCCUCAUAUCACCCAAUUUACAACAAAAAAGGUAAAAUUCACCAAGAAAAAACUUAAGCAUAAUCACUACCAAUAGAGGAUUGGAAUCCCAAUCUUGAAGCCUCAGCGACAAAUCAAAUACAAAUCAUAAUAGAAAAUCUAAUACCGAAGAUCCGAGUUCGGAAACCUCAAUUGACUGAAACAUCAUAACAUAGAUCUAAAUAAACAAAGAUCUAGAGAGAGAAAGGAAUGGGCAAGGACGAAUUACCUUGGAGUUUGGAGAAGAACUUGGUAGCUGAGGGCUUCGGAGAGUCGCAACAUCCAUUGAAACCUCAAAAGCAAAUUCAAAUAAAAUACUACUAAAAUUUAAAAUAUUAUUGGCUUAAAAAUCCUAGAUAGAUUGCUACGUUGUCAGGCCAAACCAAACUAAAAUAUUAGUUACUUCUUGAUACUUAAAGAAAAAUUGUAAGUACUUCAAAAAUGCACAGGUACAAAAUAGACAAAAAAAAAGUUAUGUCUGAAUUGAAGAAAUUCCCUAUGAUACAUCUGAAGUCAUGACCUAAUAAUGUAUUUAACUUAAGAGAGAUGACUUACAUGUUUUGGUAUGUCCAGGAGUAACUAUCACUUUUGAAACUAUCGAAGGUGCUGUACAAUCUAGAAAAAAUCGUUCACCUACACUUCAAAUAUCAUUACAGAAAAUAAUAAGUAUGAAACUUCAUAGAAUUGAUCAAGUAAGUGGCCUUACAGCAAGAGGAACUACAAAUGUUCUUUUUUUACCUUUUCAAGUCUCUAAGAAAAGAUCACUAUGGUAAAAAUUUGCAAUAAUUAGAAAUUAAGUGCUAACUGGGUGAAUUCUGCCAUAAAUAAUUGUUUAGUCAGUCGCACUUGUGAAAUAAAAUAAAUACUAAGUCAGAUUCAAAGAGUACAAAGGCAGUAGAGAGCCUAGCGUUUUAACAAAGUAGCGACAAUCUGCAUCUACAUCAGCUUCGUAUCUCAUCCAAGCAAAUUUUAAUAAAAAGAGAGAUAUCGCAUCACCCCUCAAUCACAGAUAAACUAAUUUGCCAUUAAGAACUAGAUACACAAAUCCACCGUCCCAGAUUGUCCUUUUCUUGUCCGAAAAUCUAAUUUUCACCUCAGAAAACAGCAAUAAAAAAUAAAUUUUGAAUCAAAUCAAUACAGACAAAAGAAUCUAAUGGAUCAAAACGUGGGCUAUGAUUUGGGAAUCAUCCUUGCAAGAGACGAUGAUGGUGUUCUUGGCUCGGAGGAUUUCUUCAAAGGAGACCGCAGUUCCCAUAGAGGAUGGAGCCGUUGUUGAGUGUGGCAAGGUGAGGAAGGGGAUGGGAGAGAAGAGAGGGGAGGGGAGAGGAGGAAUGCGGCUGUGUGGCAAGGCGAAUGGGCAUACUUGAGAGAGGGAAAUGGGAGGCGGACUGGUGAACAAAGCAAAAAAAUAAAAAAAAACCCUAAGAGAGAGAAGAAGGUGGUAGAAGAACGGACGCACAGGAGGGAGAACGGCGCAUAAAGGAUGAGAGAAGAAACUCUGCAACGGAUGGGGGAGAAGGAAUGACACGGAGGGGAUGGGAGAAAAAAUGUAGGACUAGUUCCAACAGUCCGUACAAAAACCAGAAAAAAGAGAGGCGGUUUGGUUUGGUUCGGUUCGGUUCAGAGGUUUGAAGAUAUAGUGAGCGGUUCGAUUCCGAGGUUGAGAGAGAGAUAGUUCAGUUUGGAUUAGAGAUUCAUAAAUGUAGUGAAGGAUUCGGUUUAGAUGUUAGAAGUAGGGCUGGCAAACGAGCGAGCCGGCUCGCGUUCGACUCGUGUUCGGCUCGAUAUUCGGCUCGCUCGAGCUCGACUCGAAAUUAAAUGAGCCGAGCUUGAACAAAAUAAAAGGCUCGAAAUUCAUUUCAAGCCGAGCUUGAGUAUUNAUAUAGAGUUCGGCGGGAUACUAUCGAUAGCAUUUGGUGCUAUCGAGUUUUCCACCGUUAGAUUUAACCAUUUGAUUAUUUUUACCCAUUAAAUUAUACUAUUCAACCAACCACUCACUCAAUCCUAGGGGGCCCGCAUCAUCCUAACCACCCAUUUCUCAAUCCAAGGGCUAAAAAAUCAAUAGCAUCGAUAGCACCAAGAAUUUGGUGCUAUCGAGUUUUCCACCGUUAGAUUUAACCAUUUGAUUAUUUUUACCCGUUAGAUUAUACUAUUCAACCAACCACUCACUCAAUCCUAUGGGGCCCACAUCAUCUAAUCACCCAUUUCUCAAUCCAAUGGCUAAAAAAUCAAUAGCACCAAUAGCUUGCAGCGGUUCUAUAAAAGUAAAUCAAUAUAUAUAUAACAAAUUAAUCAAAAUGAUAUCAGAAUUAGCUUUCAUUCGUUAGAAUACGCAAAAAAAAAUCGGGAAGUACUUACAAUGCAUAAAAUGAUAGUGGAAAGCCCUACUCUAUAUUUCGUUAAAUGGGUCUAAAGAUACAUUUAUUAUAGCAAUGAGAGAAUAACAUGAUCUACAAAUACAAAGAGAUUUAGAAUUAACUUCCUAAUUCCUAUACAUUAUAAUUUACAAACUCUCUUUCACGGGUAAAUCCUAUGACUUUAAUGCCCCUUCUUCGAAUGUCUAUAAGGCUUUCAUCAGUUGCCUUAUAUCGUCAGAAAUCUUUUUCUCAAUGUAUUAUAACUCUUAACGCACUAAAAUCCAACAAAAUAAAAAAAAAAAGAACAAAAUUAGAAUAGAUAGAAAUUCAGGUUUGAAAUAAUUUAAAUUUUAAAUGAAAAAUAUAAAUUACUUAAGAAUAGAAUAAUCACAAAUGCACUUGUCCUUAUGAUGUUAUGAGAAGAAAUAUAUCUAAUUCACUCAAUAGUUGAUAGAGCAAAAAUCUGCAAUGGGAAAUAACGAAGCAAGAACAACAGAACAGUAAGCAAAAAUAAGUAGAAAAAAGAUUCACUGAAUAGGAGCUCGGAUGGCUAGAUUUUUAUCAAUAUUUUUGCACUAAAUACACCAUUUUUUCUUCUUGCAAAUCAAUAAUUUGUGAACAAUUAAUAGAAGCAAGAGUUGCCCAUCAUUGCUUAUUUCUUUAUACACACUUAUUAAUUUCAAAUUAUUAUUCCUGUGAACCUUCACCCUUACUUUUGGUGAAUAAGACCCACAUUUAAUGUAAAUAGACUAUUGAACUCUAUAUGUAACAUGAAAGCAUAGUAUUAAGUAUAAUCAACAUAAGCAAAAACUUUAAGAGAAAUAUUUAUACCAUCCUUUCUUUUUUAAUUGGUAAAAAAAUAUAUGAAACUUACCUAAACUAUGAACUAUUUUAAGUUAGCGAUGUAAUCUUUGCAAAUUUUGAUUUUACUAUCUAACCUCUCAAUUUAUUUGAUUUGAAUCAGUCAAUGACAUUUUGACUUUAAAAUUUGGAUGUCUCGUUUGUCUUUACAUAUUUAGUUUGUAUAUUUUAUACGAUUCUCAAAGCUAUGAAUUUAAUUAAAGUAAUUAGCUUAUAUUUUGGAGUCAAACUAUCUCCGACUGACUUAAAGCAAACAGAUUGAAAGGUUAAAUAAUAAAAUUAUAAUUUUGAAAGAUUAGGUAGCCUAUUCAAAAUGGUAUGUACAGUUAUACCUUUCUUUUCAAAGAGGUAGCCUCAAUACCGUAGUAGGAAGUAUGAAUUUCUAGAAAUUUGUAUUGCUAUGUUGGCAAGGAAAAAUAAAAAGAAAACAUAGAAUAGAAUUCAAAAUAGAAGGAGAAAAGGACUAUCAACAUCUCCCAAAAUCACAUGAAAAUUCCAAACACCAAAAAUAAAAUAUGCAUAAUUGCUUAUCAUAUGACAUUUAUAUAUAUAAAAAUAAUCAUAUAUUUUGAGGAACUAAAAAGUGUUCAAGUCAUGUAAUCUUCUCAUUGCUGAAUUUUGGAACCUACAAAAUGUUCUGCAUUUUUGUUAUUUCAUCUCCUAAAUUUGGCAACUCACAUUGCUGUUAUACAGUGAUCUGUCAUUCAACAACCUAUCUGGUAAAAUCCCUGGAGAAUUGGGGUAGUUGCAGGAUAGAACAUUGGAACUUUGUAAGUCCCAUUUUCUAUAUAUUUCUUAUUUUGUCGUAAAAGAGACUUUUCUUCUAUGAAUUAUUUUAACAAACUUGUCAUAAAUAUGUAGGAUCCUGAAUAACAAAGACUUGUAUGGAGAUGUACCUGCUUAGUUAACCAAUUGCUUUAGCUUAACUUUAUUGUAAACUUUUUCCUAUUUUAGCAUCAUUUUAAAAAAUAUUUACAUCGACUUUAAAAUUACAUUAUUGUCCAUCUGGUUUUAAUUUCAGGAACCUCUCUUACAACAACUUUUCUAGACAUGUCCCAUUGUCAAAAAACUUUUCAAAGUUUUCAACAGAAAGGUAUUAAAGACACUAAAUUUUAUUUCUUUCCUUAUUUUUAUCAAGAUUGAUCUUAUUAUUAUUAUUAUUAUUAUUAUUAUUUGAUGCAUGUUUUCAGCUUCGUGGGCAAUCCAAUACUCUUUGGUUGCUUUUCGCUAGUUGAGCAAAAUUAGCAAUCAAAUUAUGUCACGCCCCGGGACCCAGCGGAAGCCUGCCCGGCACGUGCCCAGACCCGCCAUACGUCUAAAACGUAUAAGGCGUCUUAAACAACAAUAAUGAAAGCAAUAAUAAAAGACAUCUAGGAGUAUCAGAGCAUAAUAAAUAUCUAAAUGCUACAACCAAGGAUAAGGAUAAACUGUAAAUCCACUAUGUAAUAUACCGAAAAUUCGGAAAAUAAAAAUGUCGAACUUUAGUCAAAUUGACCAAAGUGCGAGGAUGGAACACUUCGGAAAGUCCGAAGGUGUUAAAAUGAUUAAAAGUGAGUUGUGGAAGGUUUUCGAGAGCUAAAGAAUUGAAUNAAUUUCAAUCGGCUCGUUUAGAGCUCGAGCUCGGCUCGACUCGAAAUUAGGCUCGCUCGAGCUCGGCUCGAAUUAAUUUCAAGCCGAGCUUGAGCCUAGAUUUAGGCUCGAAAUUAAUUUCAAGCCGAAUUUGAGCUGACAUAAGCUUGCUCGAGCUCGGCUCGUUUCCACCCCUAGUUAGAAGUGGUUCGGUUCGAUUUAGAGGUUCAGAGACGCAGUGAAGAGUUCGGUUUAGAUAUUAAAAAAGCGGUUCAAUUUAGAGAAGAGGCAAGUGAAAGUGGUGAAUGGAGCGGUUCAGUUCAAAAGAAACGAUUCGAUUUAAAAGAGGAGCAUGUGAGGGUGAAGGAAGGCUUGCCACGUGGCAAAAAUAUUGGGGAUUCAUAUUAGUUUAUAGAUAUAUAUGCCAAUUUGCAUAAAAAAUCUACAACUUUUGAGCUUUUGCAAAACUGGGCCCACUUUUUUGAUUUUGCAGAUUCGAUCUGAAUUUUCAGCAAACUGACCAAAAUACCCUUAUUUCCUUUUCUCUCUUCUCUUUUUUUUUCUCUUGUUUAUUUUUUUUCUCUUCGAAGAAGGCAGCGAAGGCAGAGGCGGAGGAGGAAACGGCUCGCCUCGCCUCUCACCCUUAUGCCCUCGCCCUCGUCGGCGCAUCCCGCCGCUUUCCUCGCCUCCGACCUCGUCGAGGCCGUCGUGACUCUUUUUUUUUUUCCUUCUCCAACCCUCCUCCGUCGUCUCUGAUAAUGACGCCUCUCUCGCCUCUCUCGCCCUUCCCCGCCCUUUCCCUCUCCCUCUCCCUCUCCCUUCUCCUCCGCCUCCUCUGCUGCCUUCGGCGACGACGCCUCUCCACCGAGGAGCGAGGGGUCCUUAGUGGCGUUGUCUCCGACGCCAUAGCUAUUGGCGGAGAGGGAUGACCAAAAAGAAAAUUGUAGAAAAAGAAAGAAGAAAAAAUUAAAGACCAAAAAUUAUAAAAGAAUGAAAAUGAAGAUAAAAUUGUACUGUUAAAAUAAAAUUAUACUGUUUAAAAAAAAUUUCGUUGUUUUAAAUGAAAGUUGCACUCUUUGAGAUAGAAAUUACACUCUUUGAAAUCAGAUUUACACUCUUUAGGAUAAAGUUGCACUCUUUAGGUGAAAUUUAUACUAUUUUUCUUUUCUUUCUUCUUCCUUCAAUUUACACCAUUUUUCUUUUCUUGCUCUUCUUCCUCCUCCUCCUUCUCCUCCACUUUUCCCCUCCAUCGCUGAACGUCGCGUGGUUGCGGCAGAUGCGCACCGCCAGGAUCGCCCCCGAGGCCGCGCCGCAACUUUUUUUUUUUCCCUCUCCGACUCUCCUCCACCGUCCAACAACGACGCUUAUCUCGUCAUCUCUCGCCCUUCCCCGCCCUUCUCGGCCUCUCCCUCUCCCUCUUCGUCCUCCUCCGCCUCCUCCAUCGCCUCCGACGACGACGCUUCUCUGCCGACGACGACUCCACGGAGGUCGCUACGGCGCCACAGCCUCAAAGCGAGGGUCCUUAGCAGCGUCGUCGCCGGCACCGCGGCCGUUGGUGAAGAAGUGUGAUAAAAAAAAAUUGUAGAAGAAGGAAGAAGAAAAAAUUAAAGACAAAAAAUUAUAAAAGAAGAAAGAUGAAGAAAAAAUUGCACUGUUAAAAUAAAAUUACACAGUUUAAAAAAAAAUUUGCAUUGUUUUAAAUGAAAGUUGUACUCUUUGAGACAGAUUACACUCUUUGAGACAAAGUUGCACUUUUUAGAUAAAAUUUACACCAUUUUUUUUCCUUCUUUGUCCUCUAAUUUACACCAAUUUUCUUUCUCUUUCUCUUCUUCCUCCUUCUCCUUUCCCUCUACUUUUCCUCUCCGUCGCUGAACGUGGCGUGGUCGCGGUGGAUGCACAUCGCGUGGUUCGCCCCGAAGGCCGCGCCGCGACUCUUUUUUUUUCCCCUCUCCUACCCUCCUCCAGCUCUCCGACGAUGACGGCUCUCUCGCCGUCUCUAGCCUUUCCCUGCCCUUCUCGCCAUCUCCCUUUCCUUCUUCCUUUGCCUCCGACGACGAUGCCUCUUCACCGACGCCGACGCAACGGAGGUCGCUGCGACGCCGCAGCCUCGGAGCGAGGGGUGCUUAGCAGCCUUUGGUGGAGAGGCGUGACCAAAAAAAUUAUAAUAGAAGGAAGAAGAAAAAAAUAAAGACCAAAAUUUAUAGAAGAAGGGAGAUGAAGAUGAAAUUGCAUUGUUAAAAUAAAAUCACACUAACGACGAAAAACUUGAUAGCACCAAACGCUUUGUGCUAUUGAUAGUAUAUCCCAGCCGGACUCUAUAUAUAUAUAUACACAGAAAGAGAGAGAGAGAGAGAUUAAAGAACCAAGUCAUUGGUGCUUCUAAGUUUUCAGCCUUAGAUGAAGAUGUCGGGUUAGGAUAAUUUCUAGGGGACCACUAUUAUCCUAAACCUACAAAAUCUUCAUUCAAAGACCGAAAACCGACAAGCACUAAUGACCCGGUGUUUUUAAAAGCAUAAAAGCUCCAUAUAUAUAUAUAUAUAUAUAUAUAUAGAGAGAGAGAGAGAGAGAGAGAGAGAGAGAGAGAGAGAGAGAGAGUCCUGCUGGAAUACUAUCGAUAGUACCAAGGAUUUGGUGCUAUCAAGUUUUCCACCGUUAAAUUUAAUCCUUUGAUUAUUUUUACCUAUUGGAUUAUACUAUUCAACAAACCACUCACUCAACCCUAGGGGGCCCACAUCAUCUUAACUACAUAUUUCUCAAUCCAAGAGCUAAAAAACUAAUAGCACAAAUAGCUUGGUGCUAUUGAUAGUAUUCCAGCAUAUAUAUAUAUAUAUAUAUAUAAGGAGCUAGGCUACUAUACUAUCUAUAGUACCGAGCUCCGGCACUAUAGUGUUGGUUUUCGAUCUUAGGACGUUCAAAUCAACGAUCCACACCGUUAAAAUAGAUCUAGGGUAUUUAAAGUUUCUAGAUAUAAAAUUUUAUAUUUUUUCGACAUAGUUUAUUUUAUGAUCAAACUAUUACAAAAUUGUCAAUUUUUAAUGGCUAUUAUGACGAGUUUGGAGUUUAACGGUGUAGAAGAAUUUAAAUUUCUUCAAAUUUUGAUAGAAAAUACUUUAAACUAUAUAGAUUAAGGUUAAAUUCUGAUCUUGAAUUUAAAAAGUUCUAUUACCUCAAAUUUAAAAAUUAUUACAUUUUACCAGUCCAAUUUUGAUAUAAUAUUUACUUAAGUAUAACGAUAUUCGAAAAACUAAAUUUUAUCUAAUGAAUUCAUUAUACUCUUCAGAUCAUAGCUUUAACGGCUGUGGAUCGUCUGAUUUGAAUGCCCUAAAGAUCGAAAAACCAACACCUAUACCGUCACCGGAGCUCGAUACUAUAGAUAGUAUACGUAGCCUAAUUCAUAUAUAAGUAGCGGCUACUAUAUCUCUUAAUGAGUAAAUCGCCUUCCGUACUUAUAGUUGUUCGAGUAUGAACUUUCCAAUCGACGAAUCCAACUGUUAAAUAUAUUAUCUAGAGUAUUAAAACUUCUAGAAACUUAAAUUUUAAAAUUUUUCGAUAUCAUUACCUUACGAAUGCAAAAAGCGCAGCAAUAAUGACAAUUUUUAACGCUAUGUGAUGAAUGUUUGCUAGUUUAACGGUGACGAAGAAUCAGGAAUAGGUUGAAAUUUUUGAAGAAAAUUCUAUUCGCAUACGCUAAGUAAGGAUCAAUAACUCCGAUCUUAAAUUGAAGGAUCCGCAUCAUACCAUUUUUAGGAUGUCGUUCGAUUUAAACACGUGUAUUCAUCUUACCCGCUUGAUGAACUUCUAUACAUUGAUUUCGAAAAUUACGGAAUUUAUUUUCUAUAAGUUUCAAACCUACUCUAGAUCAUGUUUAACUCGCGUGCUGGAUCGUCGAUUCGAAAACCCCCAAUAUAUAAACAUUUAUGAUACGAAGGGUGCUCUAUACUCAUAAAGUAUAGUAACCCUACUCUAUAUAUAAUAUACUACUAUAUAUAUUGAAUAGUAUUAUAUAUAUAUAUAUUAGUAGGACUGCGUGCUCUCAGGAGCAAGAGGCUUUCGUGCUCCUGAGUGCCGUUACGAUGAGGAAUUUCUAGAUCGACGAUCGUACGCUAGAUUGAUCUAAGCGUAUUAGUUUCUAAGAAAAUAAUUUUUAACGAUUUUUUCGUAUCAUUUACCUAACAUCGGAAAGGAUUAAAAAUCAAUAAUUUUAAAGCGGCUGGAAAUAAAAUCCUAUAUAAGUCGGUGAUAUAGCACUGAAAUUUUCGAUCAGAAGAUAUUGUCCUUGUUGUACGAUAGUAUAAGUUGUGAUCAAAAUUCAUACUGAUUUGAAUACUUUUACAUCCGUUAACACUUGAAAACAGCAGAUAUCAACCAUUAAAAUUAUUGGAUUUUGAAUCCUUUCGAUCACUAGGUAAAUGAUAUCAAAAAAUUGCAAGAAUUACUUUUCUAGGAAACUUCCACAUAACGCCUAAAUUUAAGUUAACGGACCGAUCGUAUCGAUAUCGAAAAUUCCAGCAUCCAAAAACGGAUUCAGAGCCAGAGGCGCUUCGUGCUCCUGAGAGCAAGCACCCUACCUAAUAAUAUAGUUAAAUUCUGAUCUUGAAUUUAAAAAGUUCUAUUACCUCAAAUUUAAAAAUUAUUACAUUUUACCAGUCCAAUUUUGAUAUAAUAUUUACUUAAGUAUAACGAUAUUCGAAAAACUAAAUUUUAUCUGAAUUCAUAUACCUAGAUCAUAUUUAAUCGGCUGGUGGAUCGUUGAUUUGAAUUGGCCCUAAAGAUCGAAUAACCAACACCUUAUAGUACCGGAGCUCGGAUACUAUAGAUAGUAUAGUAGCCUAAUUCUUAUAUAUAAGUAGGCUAACUAUACUCUUAUGAGUACUAAUCGCCCUUCCGUACUUAUAUUGUUUUCGGAUGAUCGAACUUCCGAAUCGACGAUCCAUACUCGUUAAAUAAAUAUUAUUAGAGUAUUAAAACUUCUAGAAAUUAAUUUUAAAAUUUUUCGAUAUCAUUACCUUACCGAAUCAAAAGCGCACAAAUUGACAAUUUUUACACAGCCUAGUAUGAGAUAUUUGCUAGUUUAACGGUGACAGAAUCAGGAAUAGUGUUGAAUUUUUGAAGAAAAUUUCUAUUCGCUACGUAAGUAAAGAUCAAUAACUCCGAUCUUAAAUUGAAGGAUCCGCAUCAUACCAUUUUUAGGAUGUCGUUCGACUUUUAACCGUUAUUCUUAUACCCGCUUGAUGGAACUUUAUAAUUGAUUUCGAAAAUUACGGAAUUAUUUUCUAUAAAGUUUCAAAUACUCUAGAUCAUGAUUUAAGCUGGGUGUGGAUCGUCCGGAUUCGAACCCCAAUAUCAUAACACUUAUGAGUACGAAGGGCUCUAUACUCAUAAGUAUAGUAACCCUACUCUAUAUAUAAUAUAUACUACUAUAUCAUAUAUGAUAUAUUAUUAUAUAUAUAUAUAGUAGGACUGCUGUGCUUCUCAGGAGCACAGAGGCUUCUCGUGGCUCCUGAGUGCCGUUUACGAUGAUGGAAUUUCUAAUCGACGAUGCGGUACGCAGAUUGAUCUAAGCGUAUUGAAGUUUCUAAGAAAACUAAUUUUUUAACGAUUUUUUCGUAUCAUUUACCUAAACAUCGAAAGGAUUAAAUCAAUAAUUUUUAACAGGGCUGGAAAUAAAAAUCCUAUAAAGUGGUGAAUAUAGCACUGAAAUUGUUGAUCAGAAAUAUUGUCCUGUUGUACGAUAGUAUAGUUGUAUCAAAAUUUCAUCUGAUUUGAAUACUUUUACAUCCGUUAAACCUUGCAAACAGCAGAUAUCAACCAUUAAAAUUAUUGGAUUUUGAAUCCUUUCGAUCACUAGGUAAAUGAUAUCAAAAAAUUGCAAGAAUUACUUUUCUAGGAAACUUCCACAUAACGCCUAAAUUUAAGUUAACGGACCGAUCGUAUCGAUAUCGAAAAUUCCAGCAUCCAAAAACGGAUUCAGAGCCAGAGGCGCUUCGUGCUCCUGAGAGCAAGCACCCUACCUAAUAAUAUAAUAUAUAAUUUUAUAUAUAGCGAGAGAGAGAGAGAGAGAUGAGAGAGAGAGUGUUGUUGGGUUGGAAAGCUAAUCUGAUAGAUAUUUGGCCUUUUUUUGGUCUCAUUAUUUCUUUAACCCAUUAGAUGAGGAAAUUGUAGUUAGUAUAAUAUUAGCCCCUUAGGCCUAUUUAUCCACCGCUUAUUCAGCCAAAACCAACGUGUUUUUUUAAGCCAAGGAAUAUUUUAUCUCGUCAAACCUUGCUAUUUCGCGAUAUUCGGAAUACUUGAGAUUUGUUAUUCCACGCAUUAUUAAUGGAAUAAGUGCUAUCCAAUGUUUAUUUCAAACUUAAUUUAAAUUAUAGAAAUGAAUUAAAACUAAUUAUAUAAAUAUCAAUAUUUUAUAUAUUAUAAUACAUUAUUUUUUAUAAAAAUUAUUAAUUUUGUAGUAUAUUCAUAAAUUAUUUUAUUUAAUAUUAUAAUGAAUUUAUAAAUAAAAUUAUAUUUAAAUAUUAUUAUAACAAUUCUUUUUAUUAAAUUUAAGUUUAAGUAGAAUUUUAAAAAAAAUUACUAAAUUUAUGGUAAUAAUAUAAAUUAUUUUUAUUAAUUAGUUUCACACGCUAUUUUAUUUUAAAUAUUUAAAAUUUAAAAAAUUUAAAUUUGUUAAAAUUUAUAAUUUGUAAUUAAAAUUAAAUUAAAUUUUACUAAUUUAAUUACUUUAAAAUUUUAAAUUAAAGUUAUGAUAUUUUAAAUUUUUGAAUGUUUAAAGAUUUGAUACUUUUUAUAUUUGUUCCAAAUUUUAAUUUGAUCUUGAAAUUCUAAAGUUUGAAAUUUAAAAUUUAAAAUUUUGAAUUUAAAAUUUGAGAUUUUAAAUUUUAAAUUUUAAUUUCAAAUUUUUAAAUUUCAAAGUUAAAAUUUUAAAUUUAAAAUAUAAAUUUUAAAUUUUAAAAACUCAAAUUCCAAUAUAAUAAGAGGGUAAUAUCAUUAUUUUUAAUUUAUAAAAAUCCACUUUUCUUCUUAUUCCAUCUUACCUAACCAAACGCUAUUUUGUUUAUUCCCGGGAAUAAUCCAAUUUUCACCCAAACACAAAAUUAAUCUAAUACCUGCUUAUACCUCAAUUUAUACCUAUCCCUAGAAUAACCACUUUUUGUUUAUCCCCAAACCAAACAAUACCUUAGGAUUGAGAGGUCCCCACUGAGUUAUAAUAUUUCAUCUAAUGGUUAGAAAUGAUUAAGCUAGUGUUUGGUUGGGGGUUAAAAGGGGGUUCCCUUUCACCCGUUAGAUCAUACUAUUCAACCAACCACCCACUCAAUCCUAGAGAGCCCACAUCAUCCUAAUCGCACAUCUCUUAAUUCAAUGGCCAAAAACUUAGUAGCACCAAUAACUUGGUGCUAUUAAUAGCAUAUUAGCCUAGUUCUAUAUAAAAUUAAGCUAGAAUCCUAACAAUAGCAUAAAGUUAUUGGUGUUAUAUGAUUUUUGACCCUUGGAUAAAGCGAUGUUCGUAUAGGAUGUAGUGGUUACCUAGGGUCGAGUGUGUGAUUGAUUGAAUAAUAUGAUCUAACAAGUGAAAAUGAUUAAAGGGUAAAUUUAUCGACAGAAAACUCAAUAGUAUCGUAGAAAAACUGGAAGGCUAACAAUCAGAAAUUAUACCCAAGGGAAAUUUUUUUUAAAAAAAAAAAAAGGGAAAAGGAAAACCAUUGCACAACGCUUGUGUGUCCUACACUAAAUUUCAGUGCCUAGAUGGGGCAUAUCGAACGGUUGUUGAGCCAAUAACGCAUGUUUAACAGUAUAUGCAGUUAACAGGUUGCUCCAUGUAAUUUAGCUUUCCAACAUCACAACAAAACCUUCCACAUGUUUUUUCUAUUAAGAACUCAACUGGGCGUAGUACCGCAAAAAAUUUAGUAUAGAACAUAAAAUCAAGUUUUUAUCCCUUUCAUCGUGUAUAUAUAUAAAAGUUCAUUACAGUAAUAAUAUUAAAACUUCCCUAGAUCAAUAACAGUAGAACAAUACGUAAUCUAAACUACUGAUGAGAUCGACUAGGAGGUUAACCUUCUUAGAUUUUCACAUUUUACUAGAGAAAAAUUUUAUGCUGACAACCAAGCUACAGAAACACAACCAUCCUUUCAAAUCCACGCGAGAACUAUUGAUACGAUCAAUGAGAUGAAAUACAUAUUGUAAAUCUUAAUGAAUUUACCAGCAAUGAAUUCAAGCGAAUAGAAACAGUACAACAGGAAAAACAAGGGGUAAGAGUGAACAGCAAACUAUUUCCUACUUGCAAUUUGAUGAUUGAAGCUGAAUUUGAUGUAAAAAGGUGCAACAAUUAAAAAUCAAAAAUAAGAAGACAAACCACUAACUGAUUUUCAUUUACAUUUGGCGCAUAAAAUCUUUUACAUGAAAAAAAUAAUGAAACUUGCAGGCUUUUUAGAUAAAUAGUCUGGUGAUCAGGCUUUGUAGAUAAGGUUAAACCUUGUGGUGUGGAGUCAAUUUGUUUACUGCAAUUUGGAGUUAGUAAUAUUAGAUAACUGAUGAAGUUUCUUUUUCCCCUAGGAAUUCAGUUCUAUGGGGAAAAUUAAAAUGGAAAAUAAGUUUGUGGUCUUUCCACAUCAAAUAGAAGUUAUCGGUCAAAUUGCAAGUUGGAAAAAGUCAAGGGAUUUUUUUUUAUGAUAAAACCCCCGCCGAAAAAAAAGAAAAAUAUCUCCAAUGAUAUGCCACCAAAGUGCAGCUUACUUAUAUAAAAGCAAGGAACGCCAUCAGCCUGAAACAAAUUGAUCGAAGCACAAUAUGCAUCUAUAACAUGGUCACAAAAUCAGAAACAUGAGGCACAUUCACACGUAACUCAUCUGCAGAUUCGAUCAGCUUGCUUAUAGGAAAUAGCAAACUAGGCUACAAUGAAAAGCUGAUAAGGAAAAGGAAUAUGUACAUUCAACCAAAACAAAAGCAUAGUAGAAUACCAUAAACACAAAGCAUCCUUAUAAUAGAUCAGCAUUCAGCAAAAGGCACUAGUUGAAGUUCAGUUUGAAACUGAACCUCAAACAAAACUAGCGAACAAAGCAGGCAUUUAGCACCACUAUACACAAAUACUAAAAGGCAUUAGAAAGAAAGAGAACCUCAGCGAAGGCGUUUCAAUAACCACCAACAUACUGGUUAGCGUAUCUCCCUGAUACAUUUCCACCUCCGUAAGCUGAACCUGCAGCACCUACACCGGGACAAUCUCUAGCCCAAUGCCCAGGUUGUUGGCAUUUAAAGCAAGUAUUGGAAUCAUUGCUGGGCCUAUUGGCAAAAUUCCCACCAAAAGACUGUCCUUGCCGACUUAUGCUCAUUGGGCAGUUCAGGGAAUUGUGACCAGGUGAUCCACAGUUAUUACAUAAUUCCCUAGCCCCAAUAUUGUGAUUCAUAAUGCCUCCAUAUUGGUUCAUAGUCUGGCCUAGCUGAUUCAUACCAAUAUUCACGCCGACAUUGUUGGUUGCAGGAUGUAUAUUAGGCUUGACAUCCAUAGUAAUACCGGAACCAGAAGCAAAAUUUGGAUUCCCAUGGAUCCGUGAAGCUGCAUUUGAAUCUUCAUUAGAAAACUUCUCGAUCAGUCCCAGAAGAUACCGGCUCUCUGACGAAGGGUUGAUUUUUUCAGCCUUAAUAACAGUUGAUUUAACACGUUGCUCCUCACUAAAUGUCUCUUCUUUGACCUUUAACUUGAACAGAUACUGAUUAAAGGAAACAUUACGAAUAAUAUCAGAGAACUUCACAUCAUCCUGUUCUUCGUAUUUCACCAAGUAUAACUCCUUCGCUGGAACGCCCAUAAGCUCUUCACCGGCUUCUUGAAAAGCUGUAACCCAAGUCGUGCCAGUGUGAUCCUGAAUCUGAAACUGAAGUAGGUAUCUAUAAUCACAUUCUGGAAAACUCUGAUCGCAGCGGUCACAGUGCCACGUGCCAUCACCGUUAUUAUUCACCUUUUUGUUGCAGUGCCUAUCCCCUACCAUCAGCGGGCAAGCAGUGUAACAGAAAUUAUCAGUCUUUAUAAAUGUAACGGUCGCUUUAAUAGUUAUCCAAUCAGGCUUUUCAGAUCUCCCUAAACCUUCAUCCUUAAUUUGCGAAACAGUUUUACGAGUGUCUGUCCUUCCCAUAGUUGAUGUAUCUCUAGAUAUAGAAAGGGAAGCCGUGUUCUUACCUUCUCUGUUAUACCACUCCUUCAAUCUCUGUGCUUCUGAAAAAUCUGGGUCAAUAAAUAACUGACUCGUGCUUAUUGUCCCAACUGAUUUACCUCCAAAAUCACUGACUCUACCAGCUUUCACAGCCAAUACAGGAAAUACACCUGAGUCACACAUAGUCUGCAUGCACUGGCCUUCAGUGUUGCAAAAGUUUCCCCACAACGUGAUUUCCACGCUGCGACCAGACAUGUCCUUCAGUUGCAGAGUCCUUUUCUGGGUUUCAGUGCCAUUCUUCCUCAUUAUAGUAGCAGCUGGAGUUAUUGAUGAAACUACACCGAUCACAUCCACCAUUGAAUUGCUUUCUAGGGAUUCAAUUUCACUCACCGGACGAAAAUUAAACUGCUGCUUUGGAAUAGAAUUAUCCUCCUCUACACAAGGUUGGACAGUCGAUGUAGAGUCUAGAAAUAUUUCGUAAUCAUUGUUUAAAUGAUUGAAGGUUUUCUGUGCAGGCCUUAAACUUCCUUUAGAUAUCAAAUACACUCUUCCAGCCUCAAUCUGGUCAUAGAACUGAUCAGCUACCGUGUUAAAGCAAGUAACACGAAUUUCUCCCCCAUCAGAAUCGAGGAGAUCAAAAGAAAAGACCUUGCCCUCCCCCCUAGGGUUGUUAUAGCGGCGGAGCUCAGUUUUUGCUGUAACCCUAGCUUUAAUAGUCCACCUACCCUGGUAAGGGUUUAGAGCAGCAAUAGGAAUAAUCCUAGCAGGGGCUUCAUUUUUAGCAAUGGGUCCUCUGUUUACAUACAUUGAAGGAGGUUGCUGGUACGUGGGCAGCGCUGGCCGGCUAUAAGUACUACCCGGAGGGCGAAACUGUCCACCCGGCCCGGCAUUAGAAAAUGUUUGAUUUUGAUUUCCACUAAUUGCAUGCGUGUUAUUGGUAUUUGCCGUGUUCCUUCCCUGCAUGGAUCCACUGCCAUACAUCCCACUCCCACCAUAUGAUGGAUUAUUCAUAACAGGCUCUGGUUUCGGAAUAACAGAAGCUCCACCACCCAUAGCAUUUGGGCCGCUAGAGUGGGACCCAGCAAAGGGUUGAGGAUUUAUAGUAGCUUUACUGGGUUGAUCAACAGUUGACGGCAGAGCAGACACAGGAGCUCGGUUUUGUGAAGCAGAAGUGGCAUUAUUAUCGUAGGUUUUUGGGUUCCCAAUCAUCUCACUUUCACCACGUAGGACCUCCAGGUUUAUGAUAAUUAUGAUCCUAAUAACAAAAAUCCCAGGAAAAAAAUAAAGCUUAAUGCAAUCGGGAAUAAGUACAUGCAAAGUCCAUAAAGGCAUCAAUCAAGGAAAGAAGCUAAUGAAAAUAGUAAUUUUCUUCUAGUGGUGAAAAAUGCUUUCUGAUCACAGAGCGGUGCUAAUCAAUAAGAAGACAACAACUCCAUAAGCAAACUCACAUAAAAGCAUGAGUUUGAUUGGUACGAGAAUAGCUUAAACCCUCACAUAAUAGAACUGAAGCAUAUAACAACAAUCUAGGAUGAUCGAGAAUUAAAAGAACCAUCUUUAUGAGAUAAACAACUGAGAACUCCCAAAUCCCGAUCAUAACUCCGUAAAGACAAUAGCAUAUUCUCUUUACCUAAGAAAACAAAUUGAAUAAGGAAAUGAACAGCCAUCAAAAUUUCCUUCUCCAUUAUGAACCCGGGGCUUCUUGUUCCAACAAGAUCAAAAUUAUGAUAAUGCUAGCACCUUACCUCAUCUACAGAAUAAACUAUCAGAAAACCCUAAUCAACAAAUACGUAACGCGAUAGCGCGAGAGAGAUUACCUUCGGCCUUGGAUAACAUUACAGAUGUACUCAUUAAGCUGCACGAUGGAUCCCUUCUGGAGCGAACCGGACUUGACGAUGCCGUUCAUCUGCGUGGCGAGCAUCGCCUGCUGCAUGUGGACUCCGUCGGAGAGAAGCAUCCGGUACCUCUCCGUCGUGCUCUGCGCCGUGUUCACCAGCCUCAGAUCCCACACCUGCAGCACGGGGCGCAUCCCCUCGGCGCCCCCCUCGGAGAUCGCCGCCACCGCCCCCCGCGUCAGAUCCGCCGACGAAGCCAUCCCCUUUCCCCGGUCCCUCCCCCACCUCACAAGCACCUGCUUCAACACAGCGGAAACCCUAGGUUACGAAUCGCCCCGUGAGAAGAGGAGAGGGCGUAAUCGGUGAAGAAGCUACCAAAGAUCGGCGAAUUGGGGAAGAAGAGAGGACGAGGACGAUAAGAUUGUGUUAGGGUUUCAAUAGAAUUUGGGCGCGCGCUAGAGAGAGAGAGAGAGAGAGAGAGAGAGAGAGUGGCGAAGAGGGACGAGAGAGGGUUUUGAAAGAACCCUAGAAGAGCCGCAGAGUGUUUUAGAGGGAAAACCGAGCGGCGAAAUGAGGCGUUUUGGAAUUUCUACGCAGUUGUUUUGGUAGACCUGGUUUACCACGUCAUGCAUGUCUUGCGAAAUAUCUCGCCCUUGCGAUGUCUUUUUACAUUCUGGUCUAUGAACGACUUUGGUGCACGUAAACUUCCCCUUAAAUGCGCGAUGAUUCCAUUCCCCGGUGACGCGACGCGCCGGUCCCACUUCCCCCCUAUAAGGCGCCUCCACGUGUCCAUCUUCCCAAGUGGGCGGACCGAUGAUUAGUUGGAAGAGGUCCACCGUUCUUAAUUUGUAGACCGCCUAGUGAUCGAAGGUUCCAUUUCGUUUCUACUGACAAAACAAGGGAUUAUCAUUUAUAACUCAUUGGAUUACCGCGUGUUUGUUUUCAUGAAAGUCCGGCUUUCAAGUCGCCACUUUGUGGAACUCGAGAUUGCCGGCAUUUGAAUGACGCUACAGUCUUAGAAAUCGGUGAAGUAACCUGCACUCUAGAGAUGAUCUCAUGUGGAUAAAACUUUCGUAGCAAGCUGCCAAAGAAUAUCUCGUUGGAAACCCCCUAAUCUACUAUUAUAUAUUAAUUUUAACUUCAAUUAAUAAUUCGUUUAGUUUUUUUUAAUAUAAAAAUUUUUAAAAAAAUUAAUACUCUAAAAGAAAGAAGUAUAAAUUUUGAAUAGAAAUAAAAGAGACAGGUAGUGACAGAUUGGGGCCCUUAAUAAAGCGUCGCCGGAAACCCCUAUUAAAGUUUUUUUCGUCUCAUGCAACGGCUAGCUCGAGAAUAACGCAAACUCGCCGCUCCACGAUCAUCAUGCGCGAAUUUGAGUUUUGCUCUUAAGGACGAAACUCACAUGCCUUACAGGGAGUCGAGCUUGUGUUAAUAGACGCACCAUUAUUGGAGCUAGGUGACCAUGUUGUCAAGGACUUAGUGAUUUUUCAAUGCGGCCAAGUCUCUGGCCCAACUUCGCUAAGUGGGCAGCCAAAAAGGCACCAAAACCAGCAACCUUUCAUGGAAGAUGAAGAAUCAUAUAACUGCUGCAAUUAAUGCCUCCAUAACUGGCAGCGAAAACUCAAGGGAUAUGGGCAACUCUUGGUAUCACCUUACAAUCAUUGGGCAUUUAUGAUGGCUCAUUAUUAUGUGAUAGCGGGUGAGUUAAUGUGUGUUUAAUGGUGAGUUUGUGUAGGCUAGAUUCAAUAUAUCUAGAAGCCUAUAAAUAGGAGGGCUGGCUAAGGUCAAAGUAGAAGUAGGGAAGGUAGAGCCACAAGAGGAGUUGUGUAUUAUAGCCCUAUUUUUCUAGAUAGUUGAGUACUUAGUUUUUUGAGAACUUCUGCCUCUCUCUUUUCUCUCUUUUUUGCAUACUUAGUCGCAGGGCGUGGAGGUCUAGGCCAUAGUUAGUUAAUUCGGAUUCGGCAAAAAUUCGGUACGGGUAUAAUUCGGAUAAAAUUCGUCUUCUAAUUUUUAAAUUCGUUGAAAAAAACGGCUAAAAAACGGAUUCGCCGAUUAUUCGGAUACGUGAUUUAUACGGAUAUUAUACGUUCACCCAUUAAAAAUUCGGGAUCAAAAAUUCGGCUAUUAAAUUAUUUUUUUUUUCUCUCAAGAUUUAUGCUAUUAGCAUAAAUACUCAUAUUUUUUAAAAAUAUAAAAAUAAAAACCUAAAAAAUUAAACUAAUUAAGUAAAAAAAAAUAGUAAACUAUAUUAUGCCUCAAAAUAAAGAAAUAAUUAAGCAAAUAAGUGAUCAAAAUAGUCCAUAUUUAAAUGUAAAAGCUUCCAACUUUUGCUUUGAAGAAUGAAAACUCAAAUAGUACCUGGUCCCAAAGUUAUGUCUCAAAAAUUAAGUAGAAACCCCAGUGAGUCAAUGGUCCAUGAAAGACCACAACAAAAUUUUCCUUUUGCAAGUGUCGACAAAGAUCAUGAAAUUGAUUAGGUAUAAUACAAGAGUUCCUGGUCCCAAAGUUAAUUAAGAUUAUUUAUUUAGCACUAUGUUUGGGUCUUCUUUGUGCAUAACAGAGAAUGGACACAUUCAAUUAAGCACUCAGCCACUUGUGUAUAAAACAAGUAUCCAUCAGAUGACUAAAAGCUUCCAACUUUUUCUUUGAAGAAUGAAAAAAACUCAAAUCGUACCUACCUGGGUUUGUAAAGAACCACCCGGUUACUGAUCUAUCGUUGGAUAGCGGAAGCGGGAGAGGAAGCGGAAGCGGAAGCGGAAGCGGAAGAGGAAGAGGCGACGAGGAGGGUUUCGAUUUCUGAAGAGUGAAGAACCCGAUCUUCGAUCUUCGAUUUCUGAAGAGGAGGGCUUCCGAUGGCGUUCGGCGAGCGCCCGGAAGGGAAGAGGGAGACCGCCGCAGGGGUCGAUGGCAGGGCCGCACCGCCGCAGGAGUGAGAAGUUAGGGCAAACCCUUUUUUNNNNN
rnacentral:lncRNA from 1 species